rnacentral:lncRNA from 1 species
CAUUUCUUGCUUUGUAGAUACAAUAGAGUAGACAUCAAGCAUAAAUCAUGAUACAUGACUAGGGCUUUCAGAGGUAAUAACAAGGUGAAGAAAAUCAUGCAAAAGAUAUAUCAUGAUAAUCAAGCAUAAUAAUAAUAGGUCUUAAACUCUAGAAAGGAUCGAAACCAGGUAGGUAGCUCUAGAUAUUAAAAACAUGUGCUCAUAACUUUCCAGGUUGUGACAUGUCAUCCAUCACAACUAAGGAGAAACUUUGGGGUGCAUUUAUUCUCAACUCAUCUACGAUGGAGCUCUAGUUUAUUGGUAGUGGAGAUAGCUAGUGUGCAUCCAUAUCCUUGAUCUUCAGCCUGAGCAUGGCAUUUCUGUUCCAAACAAAAUAAGAAAACACAAAGGAUCAGGGAUGAAGACGAUUAAGAACAAGUGGAACAAGACAAAUUGAUAAGGCAAGUAAUUGUGCAACAACAUUCAAAUGUAAUGUGUCACUCAAAAUGCAGAAUGAUAUAAUUGACCAAGCAAUGAUGACUAGAUGUUUCCAUACCCCAAACGUGGUGUAUUUUUCCUUCUACAACAUGAAAAGUAAAGAAACAAUAGUCAAUGAGGGUAAAAGUCACCAAUGGGGAGUUUUUAGAUAGGAUUAUACACUUGACAUGUAGGGCGAAAAUAUCAUUGUGGUAUAUCGAAAUUGAAAAACAUUCAACAACACAAGUGUGCCGGUGUAAGCUAUGUUAUCCAGAAUUGAUAGGUCUGUGAAUAAUGGCAUGCUUAAAUAGACAUACAUGGAAAUUUUAUUCCAUGACACUACCGUAUCCUUUCUCGCAAAAAGAACAACUACAGUAUUCUAAAAAACUGCAAGUAUCUACAUCCAGAGUAACAUGAGUGAGGUUCACCAUUCGAGCUUAGCCUACUGGUGAUAAGAAUUCAUAUAAUGUGAUAUCAAUAUAUGAGAAAUGAAGAAGCUGCAAUACAUGAAAUUCCAUUAUUCAACUGCUAAUCCCUCCCUCUGAUUUCCCGUAUAUAUAACCCAAGACAACAACAACAGUCAUGACCACGUAGACAAAAGAGCAAUUGUAGCGUUUAUAAAUCAUGCUACAGGUAGAGAAAACAUCUCAAUUGUUGCUUACUAGUCUUCCUAAAAUGGCCCGAGGAAUCAAUUAUGUACCUACCACCAUUCCAUGAAUGUACUACACCAUGAUUGUUGAUGAACCAUUAACUAAAAUAAUAGAGGACUAAUAGUUUGGCAAUGCCAUUCAUUCUGCAACUACACCAGAUAUGUUGGUGUAUUGAUCUAAGCUACAGAUUUUAGCUUUAUUGCACACAACAAGACAAAGCAAUGAAAUAGAAAAUAGAUUGAUAGAGUGUACAAUUCAAAAAACAUUAUAACCUCAACAAGACAAUAGAUUAUAUGAAGGCCAAAAAACAAUCCUUGUAGGAUCAUCCUUGAGUGCAGGAAAUACGGGAGGCCAGAUCAUCAUAAGAGGAUGGAUUUCAUAGAAAAAUUUAUCACCGUCUUCCUUCUCAUACACCUUAUGCAUUGUUCUGCGCUCGAUGUCCAAGAGGAAUGUGCAUCGACCCAUGUCCAAGAACACAAACUCAGCAUUGUCUCCUGCCUGGUUUAUUAGGAGAGAAGCAUUGCCAUCUGACACACUCAAAUCAGCAAACAUCUCGCGCAAUAAAAUGGUGUCCGUCAGCAACCAUGUGUACCCAUCGUGGAGCCAGAUGCGUAGUUGAAACUUCUUGACAUGGAUAAGAUAUACACCAACAACAUCAUCGGCCUGUGACAAUAUGGUGUUUCUCUCACCAUAUUCCAUCCCUUCUGGGAGCUCAAUUAUGGAGAAACUUGAGGCCGCCAUAUCCAAGACAAUAAUGUUGCUCCAGCCAGCUGGCACAUAGAUUUUAUUGUUGGACAACACAGAUUUAAGUACUGACCAUGGACGAGGGGGCUCCUGUAUGAUCAAGCUAUGAUUCAUGCGCCAUAUGCCAUGUUUCAAGAUAUAUAUGUAUACCCUAUGUUUUCCAUUCGUUGUUUGGUGCAUCAACACAUACAAGUAAGACAAGGCAUCGCCCUCUUCUUUGGACAUGAUUCUAGAGUAAGCAGUACCGUCAAAUAAGUACGGAGAUUGGGGGCGUGGAAACGGUGGGAGGAUGUCCAUGCCUCUCUCAGGACACACCACUUGGUGCACUGCAAACGUGGUUCCAAUUUCAUCAUGCUGCCUAAUGAGUAUGUUGCCAUUCUGACAACCAAGGAUGUAGGUUGGUACCGACGGUACUCUCUGAUAGGUGCCCAUGCUAGAGGUUGCGCGACGGAUGACAGCAGUGAGUUCACGGGGCUGAGGCAAUAUUGGGAUGAAGUGCGGGGUGCUCUGACCUUUGUUGAUGUAGAAGCCAAGAAGGCGGGGCGGGUGGAUCUCACGAAAUUGACGGAGGAAGGCACGGUUGGAGGCAUGGGCGAGCCAGCGUGUGCAUACGAGGGCGGAGUUGAGAAGGGUGGUGGUGAAGACGGUGCGGAGGAGGAUCUCACUUAGGAGGUCAUCGUCCUCGAGCACCUUGGAUAUCGCCGCCAUUGAUGUUGGGGAACGCCGGUCAAACUGGGGUUAGGGGAGAAGAAUUGCAGGUCGAUGCCGGGGACGGGUGAGGUGAAGUCGCCGACGAAAUUGUGACACUCAUCCUUUAAUUGCUUACGUUUCAGGCAAGUGAAGAAACGGCUUCUGGCACCUACAGCAAAAAUAAAUGACCAGCCAGCCUGGCCAAUUAAACCAAAAAGGUAACUGUCGUAGUGUGCAAUAACUGUGGUCCACCUGCUUUUAUGUUCCGUUUUAUUGCGCUGGCGUGUGUUGCUUGCCUUUGUGAUCCCCACACCGGUCCACUACGAAUAGGGAGGGGCAUGGCCGUCACUUUGCACAAAGCAGCUAUUGAGCGAUCCUGCCGAAAGGUUUUGUACGGAUUUUACUGAUUUAUGUAUAAACAUUUUAGAAGGUUAUGGUAUGUUUUCGCUAUUUUUAAUGGUUUUUUGUUUUCUAAAAAAAUGUCCAUAAACAUUCUGAAUCUCAAAAUUUUACUCUGAAUUUUUAAAAGUUCAUCCUUAUAAAAAAUAUACUCCCUGCGUCCCAAAAUAAGUGACUCAACUUUGCACUAAAGUUAGUACAAAAUUUAGUCACUUAGUUUGGGACAGAGGGAACAUUUUUUGAUUUGUUUGUAAGAAAUGUUUGGAAUUUCAAAAUAUAUUCGUGUUUUAAAAAAAUCCCAAAAAUGUUCACCUUUCAAAAAAUGCUCGCGUCUUCCAAAAAAAUUGUAAACAUUUCAAAAAGGUUCAAAAUUUUCAAAUAAAGAUAAAAAUCUAAAAAUAUGUUCACACUUUUGUAAUUUUUUUGUGAUUUUCAGUAGGCUAAAUGAAAACAAAAUAAGCACUCCUGCCGAUCGAUAUUAAUUGUCGCCGACUUAAUAAAUCCACAGCAGUUAAUAUGGAUUAGAGGGGGUUCUAAAAAAGUGUGGUGCUAUAGUGUCUACUUCUUCACAUUUUUACUUGUCUCUCCCCGACACAUAGGCAAAAGUGCCAUGCAAGCGGGCUUAUAGCCCACUAGUAUAUUUGCUCUUAUAUUGUUAACUGCUAAUCUAAGACCGGUUUAAAGCGUGUUCUAGUCUAUCUGGAUUGAGCGAGGGUGGUGACGUGUCAUGCACUCAUAUCAUCAUCCUUCACUCAUAACUAGAUAGCUUCUUCUGCUUGUUUUGACUUUACACUUAUCUUGACAUGAAUAAUCUACAUAGUACUGUCAACUCUGACUAUUCGAAAGUUGCCACUUAGAAACAGUACAUACGGCAAAAUUACACCGCAAAAUAAUGGUUAAUUCAAUAUACAAGCCACGUCCGCAAUGGCAUUUAUCAAAGUAUCAAUGCUGGCAAUGCAAUGGUUAAAAGUUUCUCCAAGUGAUUUUUUGCGUGGUCUGAUCAAAAUUUCAAUCAACGAGUCGAUCUUGUAUGGUUUGUGUGGUAGGGUCAAUUUUCUCAAGGAAAAUGGAUAAGGUUGAACAGUGCUAAAUACACAGUUGUUUUCUCACCAAUAAUUCGACCGAUCAGAUCAUGGGCACCGCCGUCAGUUGCAAGAAUAAAUGAUGCAAAAUCGAAAACACAAUUUCUUGUCUCACAACGAGCAACUGAGUUAAUUGUAAGAAACCACUACAUUGAAGGCUAGAUCAGCAGAAAACGUGAAUUUACAUUUUUUUUUUAAAAACAGCAUGUCUAAAGUAAUUGUUUGGCAAAUAACACUGAUUCGCGGUGGAUUAGACUUAUUUGAGCGUGUUUAUGGCAGGCUGGUCCCGCAUCUCGCUUACAUGGCAUAACAGUUCACGGAGACGGGGGUUGGUCUAAAUUUACCAAAUAGUCCCAAAUUUUUUACAUAGGCACCCUUUACACAAAAACUAAAGCGAUCAGCCCGUGCAUAGAACUGUAGCACUGUGCCAUGUGCUGCCGGUAUCCCGCCUGUCGCCGCCGCUAGGUGGUCGCAGCCGGUCGUUGCGCUGCCGCCGCGCCUGACGGCAUGGAGCCCAUGGCGACGAACCGCACGCCGCCGGGAGCAGCUGCCCGUGCAUGGCCCUGCAGGACACCCUCCGCCACCACCGACACCGAGGCGGUCAACGCCGGCAGUCUUUCAAGUAGGCGAGCGCCGUAUAUGGGUAUGUCUAGCCGGUGGCUAGAAUAGAUUCAACAACUAGCUCCUGUGCUUGUACGUCCGCAUCCAACCGGGAGGAAUCAAUCAACCCACACCUAGAUCCGCAGUAGACGCCUUUUGAGAUUGUUUUCUCCAUGUGUUCUUUCCUAUUGUACUGGACAGGGCUGCAGGAGGAGGAGGGCGCCAAGGAGCUGCGAAGCGGUGCUGAGAUGAUCAGGUCGAGCACGAUGCGCAUGAUGGAAAUGUGCAAUGCGGUGAGAGUGUCGAUCGGGGGAGAUUGAAGGUCUGCAAAAAUCUUGUUGGCUAGAGCUGGGCAAUCCUACGAUCCUGUGACGGCAUUUUGGUUCUUUUGUGGAUGUCUCAUGUCUUUGUGUGUAGUAAAAACUUAAGGGUGUUUGCUAUGGAUAUUCGGUGCUGUCUAGGUUUUCGCCCCAUGGCAUUCGUUUCGAUGGCGAGCGAAUGCAGUGGGUUUCCUGGCAGUGCCCAGACUCGCUUUACCUCUUUCCCUUCUCCUGUCAUGUUUCUGAACUUUGUAUUUUCGUUCAUUUGCAAUGGAAAAGGGUAUAGCCCGGUUCGAAAAAAAAGAUCCGCAGUAGACAAAGUACUUCUUGCAACAUCGAGCACUAUGCAUGCGUGCUAGUUGUUGCUGCUGCUUGCGGGAGAUGCGGCGGCCACCUCGUUCGCGAGGCGGAUGAGGCGCCAUCGGGUUCUUGGUAGGCAGUGGCGGCGCCAGAAAAUGAAGGCUGCGUAUUCAUUCAAAUUUUUUUUUGCUCUAAAUAUAGUAUAUGAACCAAACAACAGACCACUAGCAAUAUAGAUGAACAAAACAACAUUAGCAUACUAGAUGGAUGCAAAAUGUCCAGAGCGGAGCCGUGGAGGUGAGCCGGGAGGGGCUGGGCGCCUACUUGGGCCGGGGAGCCGCCAACCAGGAGGUCGGAGGCUGACCGGCGCCUGACGAAGCCGCAUCGCCGCAGAGGUCGGCGCAUAGCGGCAGAGGGUCGGAGGGCGUCUGGGCAAGGGCGGGCCAGCAUGGGAGGGAGAGGGAGAGGGCGGCCGGAGGGGAGGGGACUGAGGGGUGAGGCGAGGGAGGAAGGAGAGGGCCGACCUGGCCGCCGGAGCCAGACCUGAUUCCAGGGGAGGCUGAAUCGGGGGAGCUAGGUUUGGGAAAAGGGGAUCGAUUGAAACUGGGGCUUGGCCGCUCGGGGCAGUACUGAAUCGAGGAAGGGAGACGAGCCACUCGUGCGCCUAGCCACUUAGCCAGACGCUGACUGGGUCGUGUCUGCUCCCAUGCGUAGCUUUUUUGCCGUGGCCCUAUCCCUUCUACCGUAUAUGUACUAUUUUUUUUACGCGAAAUACUUGGGUAUUCCAGGGAAGUCCCAGGAAGACCCCAGCGUCGCCACUGUUGGUGGGGAGACCGGGCAGAGAGCGGCGUGGCGGUGGAGACCACCAUACACUGCAUUGCGAGCAUGCUAGGAGGUUUUGAGGCGCCGGCCGCGGAUCCGGCAUGGGGCAUGGCGUUAGAAGGGCGGGGGCUAUCUGUUCUGCAGCGGGGGAAGGUUUGGGAACGGUCGGCGGCCCAGGGAGAAAGUUUGGCACAUUUUUGCAAAAGACCCGCCGUCUCUUGUGAACUGUUACGCCACCUAUGCAAAAAAUGGGGCCCGUCUGUCAUAAACACGCUCAUAUGAGACUAAUCCACCUAUCAUAUUGGUUCCUACAUAUUUCACGCAGGUCAUCUAUCGUUUGAACCAUGAUGUCAAGGAUUCAGUUAAUCCCGUAUGCAAUUCUCUUUGUUCGGGAAUAUGUUACUUGUCUGAGAUUCGAUCGUCGGUAUCUCCAUACUGUUGGGGAACAUAGCAGAAAUUCAAAAUUUUCCUACAUGUCACCAAGAUCUAUCUAUGGAGAAACCAGCAACGAGGGGAAGGAGAGUGCAUCUACAUACCCUUGUAGGUCGCUAAGCGGAAGCGUUCAAGAGAACGGGGUUGAAGGAGUCGUACUCGUCGUGAUUCAAAUCACCGGAGAUCCUAGUGCCGAACGGACGACACCUCCGCGUUCAACACACGUACAGCCCGGUGACGUCUCCCACGCCUUGAUCCAGCAAGGAGAGAGGGAGAGGUUGAGGAAGACUCCAUCCAACAGCAGCACAACGGCGUGGUGGUGAUGGAUGAGCGUGGCAAUCCAGCAGGGCUUCGCCAAGCACCACGGGAGAGGAGGAGGAGGAGAGGCGGGGCUACACCAAGAGAGGGAGAAGUUCUCAUGUGUUGGCAGCCCCAAAACCUCAAGUAUAUAUAGGGGGAAGGGGGGCUGCGCCCCCUUUAGGGUUUCCCACCCCAAGGGGUGCGGCCAAGGGGGGAGGAGUGCCUUCCAAGUCAAGUGGAGGUCCUCCCCCUUAGGGUUUCCCCCUUCCCAUGCGCAUGGGCCUUGGGGGGGCUGGUGCCCUUGGCCCAUUAAGGCUAGGACGCCCCCCUACAGCCCAUGCUACUGUAUUGGACGUGGUGGAACAAUUUCCGGACCUCCGGACCCCUCCGGAAUCCUCCGGAACCUUUUGGAAGCUUCCCGGUACAAUACCGAAAAAACCCGAACAUUUCCCGGAACCCGAACAACAACUUUCCAUAUAUAAAUCUUUACCUCCGGACCAUUCCGGAACUCCUCGUGACGUCCGGGAUCUCAUCCGGGACUCCGAACAAUAUUCGGUAACCACAUACAAACUUCCUUUAUAACCCUAGCGUCAUCGAACCUUAAGUGUGUAGACCCUACGGGUUAGGGAGACAUGUAGUCAUGACCGAUACGUUCUCCGGUCAAUAACCAACAGCGGGAUCUGGAUACCCAUGUUGGCUCCCACAUGUUCCACGAUGAUCUCAUCGGAUGAACCACGAUGUCAAGGACUUAAUCAAUCCCGUAUACAAUUCCCUUUGUCUAGCGGUAUUUUACUUGCCCGAGAUUCGAUCGUCGGUAUACCGAUACCUUGUUCAAUCUCGUUACCGGCAAGUCUCUUUACUCGUUCCGUAACACAUCAUCCCGUGAUCAACCCCUUGGUCACAUUGUGCACAUUAUGAUGAUGUCCUACUGAGUGGGCCCAGAGAUACCUCUCCGUUUACACGGAGUGACAAAUCCCAGUCUCGAUCCGCAUAAAACAAUAGAUACUUUCGGAGAUACCUGUAGUGCACCUUUAUAGUCACCCAGUUACGUUGUGACAUUUGAUACACCCAAAGCACUCCUACGGUAUCCAGGAGUUACACGCUCUCAUGGUCAAAGGAAGAGAUACUUGACAUUGGCAAAGCUCUAGCAAACGAACUACACGAUCUUUGUGCUAUGCUUAGGAUUGGGUCUUGUCCAUCACAUCAUUCUCCUAAUGAUGUGAUCCCGUUAUCAACGACAUCCAAUGUCCAUAGCCAGGAAACCAUGACUAUCUGUUGAUCACAACGAGCUAGUCAACUAGAGGCUCACUAGGGACAUAUUGUGGUCUAUGUAUUCACACGUGUAUUACGAUUUCCGGAUAAUACAGUUAUAGCAUGAAUAAAAGACUAUUAUCAUGAACAAAGAAAUAUAAUAAUAACACUUUUAUUAUUGCCUCUAGGGCAUAUUUCCAACACAUACCUCGUUCUAUCUCAUUAUCGACAAGUCUCUUUACUUGUUCUGUAAUACAAGAUCUCAUGACUAACUCAUUAGGGCAUCUCCAGCCAUUGACACCCCCAGGAGGCGUUUUUUUCGCCGCUUGGGGGGCUGCCGGCGAGAUUUUAAGCCUGGGGCUGAAAUUUCUUUCAGUCGUUUGGCCCCCCAGGCAGCAACGAGCCGUCGGAGCAGCGCCAAGCGCGGGAACUGCGCGAGAUGCGAUCACCGGCCGGCCGUUUCCGGCCACGGCUGGUCGCGGGGGUUUGUUCGCUGGAACGCCCGCAGUGCGGCACGUCCAGCAGUGGUCGUUGCAGCCGACAACGUGGGGUGUAGCGGCGGCAGCGACGGGCGGAGAGGCGGCCGUGUUGCGGGUAGCUAGCGACCCAACGGAGCAACGAGGCAGCGUUAGUAGAGCACCCGGAGCACGACGGACAGCUGUGCGUGGCGGGAUGAGCUCGGCAUCAAGCAGAGCAUCGGCCAUGGCGGACGGCAGCGCUCGGUGCUCGCGGGGACGACGGUUACGGCACGAAAUCAAGCGAGAGGGGUGGUUAGCGAGCUCGGGAAGGCGGCCAUGAGGAAGAGCACCGACGCCCAGUGCCCCCACCGCGGCCAGCGAUGCUAGGAGGAGCGGCCGACUCACCGGAACGUGCGCCCAAGCCGGACGGGGCGAGCAGGCAGGGAGCAAAGCGGGCGCGGAGGAAGCCGCGGGAGGCGGAGCCGGCGUGAGCCGACCAGCCGGCGUGCGGGAGGCUGGCCGGGCGAGGCGGCGAGCGGACGGGGCCGGACUCGGCGCCGCUGCUGGAGCCGGACAGGGCGAUGGUGAGGUACAACGCCGGCGCGCGCACCACGGUGUCCCGCGAGGUCUCGGACGAGCGGAGACGUGGCGUCCUCCCCGCGAGCUCCGUUGCGCGCCCCGUCCUUCCUCUUCCGCCAUGGCCGUCGGGGGCACGAAGACAUCGACGCCACCCUCCUUCUCGUCCGGCUCUUCCUCGUAUGCGGGUGCUUCUUGGGCGGGGGCAGGAACUCCCGUGGCCGCGCGCGCCCGUGGCCGCCCUGGCCUUGCCUGCUCCGGCCACGGCCCCGCCUCGCCAGCUCCGGCCAGCGCCCGCCCUGGCCGCGCACAGCGAGCUCCUGCCUCGCCCGCCCAUAGUACAUGGAGAGUAGAACCGGGGAGAGAGGGAGUGUGGGCGUGGAGAGGAGAGAGGGAGUGUGCUGCACGUGGGUGGGCCUGAAGAAGAGAAAGGGGGAGAGAGAGGCUGGCAAGUGGGGCAGCGCCUUCAAAAAGCUAAUGCCGGCGUCCCCAGCUGCCCCCCGGCGAGCUGGGUGCGGGGUGAGCGUGUCGGCGCUAACUUUUGCUAAAUCCGGCGCAAAACGAUGUUUUGGGGCCCUGACUGGGGCGUUUUUUACUCGCCGGCGUCCAAAAAAGCGCCUGGGGGGCUUCUUGGGGGCCUUAGUGGAGAUGCCCUUAGCCACAUUGCUUGCAAGUUCUUUACGAUGUUGUACUACCGAGAGGGCCCAAAAGAUAGCUCUCCUCACACGGAGUGACAAAUCCUAGUCUCGAUCCAUGCCAACCCAACAGGCAUCUUCGGAGAUACCUGUAGAGCAUCUUUAUAAUCAUCCAGUUAUGAAGUGACGUUUGAUAGCACACAAGGUAUUCCUCCGGUAUCCGGGAGUUGCAUGAUCUCAUGGUCUUAGGAAUAGAUAGUUGACAUGAAGAAAGCUAUAGCAAUAAACUCAAGUGAUACGAUCGAAUGUUAAGCUUACGGUUGAGUCUUGUUCAUCACAUCAUUCUUCUAAAGACAUGUACAGUGCUCUCUAGUCAGCUGCCUGCAAGGGAUGACACCUAGGAUUUUGGAUGAGGUGGAGGGAAACUCAGGAAGAGAGAGAAUAAGCCGGUCGAUAAAGAUACAGACGGUCUACAGCCCUGAGAAAUCGGCACCUAUCGACGGCCUAUUACCGUUGUACGAGAGGCCGUCUGCAAUCCAAUACCCCUUCGUACGAAUCCUCUCCCAAUCCUCUUGAUCCUUGAUGGAGACGAAGAUCGCGCGAUUAGCUGCUGCUAGUUGCCGAUGAGAAGCUCCUGAUCGUCGUUGUCGCCGGCGGCAUGGCAGCAUGUGCUCCUCGUGGGCAGAGGUUAUGCCAAGCGGCAACGGUGGUGCUUGACCGGCGCCACGACGCGAUGAUGAGAAUGUCAGAGUUCGCUACCAGGGUGGGCUGUGAAAUUUGGAUCCAUCUCUAUCCAAAUUGUCCUCUCUUGAUGCUGCAACACAGGGCUUCUUGCAGUCGCCGCAUGAACCGAACAUGGCAUCUGCGUAUGGUCGCACAAGUCUCUGUACGACACUUGUUUGCUGAUUUCUGCAAAUUAGAAUCGUUUUAUCUGAUUCAUUUUUGUCAGGGACUAGGAUUGGCGCGUACAUGGACAAAUUUUCCCAUUUUGAUAUUAUAGACACCUAAAAAGCUAACCUGUUGUAUAGGCUGUCUUUAUGCUUGUUUGCAGAUGACGUGGAGAGUUGUUAUAGACAGAUACCGUCUAAACUAUUCUACAUUCCUUAAUGAUGUGAUCCCGUUAUCAAAUGACAACUCAUGUCUAUAGUUAGGAAACCUUAACUAUUUUUAAUCAACAAGCUAGUCUACUAGAGACUCACUAGGGACAUAGUAUUUGUGUAUGUAUUCACACUUGUAUUUAAGUUUCCGGUCAAUACAAUUCUAACAUGAAUAAUAACCUUUAUCAUUAAUAAGAAAAUAUGAUGAUAACCAAUUUAUUAUUGCCUCUAGGGCAUAUUUCCAACAGGUAUCUUACCAGGAUCGACCUUGGAGAAUCGGCCAGACAAAUGCGCAAGCGGGCAUCAAAGCAAUGGACUAAUUUCCGCGGCCAAUUGCGCUGCAAAACGAGCUUUGCGUAAAGUUACGUACUAGCUGAUCUGGAUUAAUUGAAUUGGAUUAGAAAGAGGCUCAGGCCCACCCCCGAAAAUCAGGGGGGGGGGGGGUCAUUAGUUUUAUAGGACGGAAAAGAACGUAAGUUGACGUAGAAGGUUACAUAGGUCUAGUGUUUUCGCUGCAAAACCACCAACAAACAACAAUCCAUGAAUCAGCUCACUAGAGGACAUGUAAAAUCAGUGUGCAGGAAAUGAAACACAGGGAGAACAGAAAUUAUCUUGCCGUUUGGGAAGAGAAGAGCUCACAUCAACCAAUCAACGUGAGGCUGGAAGAGGAAGCGACUUUCGCCGUCGGGGACGAGCGAGGUCAGGCCGCCGGCGCCCCCUCCUUAAUUUCUUUCGGCGGGGAUGAACUGCGUUUUUUUUAGAGAAAGCUGAAGUAUUUGAGUGGAAGUUGGUGGCUGGUUUUGGGAAGCUUCUUGAAGCUUCCAGUCCUUUUUUCCUUGGCCUUUUUUGUUUGGUUUUUCUUAUUUUCCCCUUUUUUGUUUUUCAUAUUUCCAUUUUUUUCUCAAAAUGCAUGAAUUCCUUUCAAACUCAAGAACUUUUUUCAAAUUCGUGAAUGUUUUCCAAAUUUGUUUUUUAAAAUCGUGGGCAUUUUCCAAAUCCGUGAUUUUUCACAUUUGUGAAGUUUUCGCCUAAAAUUCAUGAACAUUUUGUAAUUUUUAUUUUUCCGUAAAUCCAUGAACUUUUUUCAAGUUCGUGGACCUUUUCCAAAUUCAUGAAUUUUUUUGUCCGUGAGCUUUUUCAGUUUUGUGAACUUUUUAAAAUCCACGGACUUUAAAAAUAUCCGUGAUUCUUUUCCCGAAUUCAUGAUUUUUUUUCUCAAAUCUAUAAACCUUUUAUUAAACUAUUUUUUAUGAAACCUUGUCAGAGGGCAGGGAGCUCCCACGUUGCAUACUGAAGAAGAGAGUUGGUCCAAUUAAUGAAGGUACCUGACCCAAAAAUAAUACAAAACUAACAAAAACCACGCACGCAACUGCUGAUUCAGCAUCAUCUUCAGACUUCGUAUGGAAUGCCAUGUUUCAUGGGAGAAGCAGAUAUUGAGAAAUUUGUAGGUGCUUCACAAUGUAUAUUGCCAGAAGAAAGCUAUGAGCUUCAGAUUAGGCACCGAGAGUAUAUAGCAGUUGUGGCUUGGAUCCUGAGUAGACAUGUGAAGGAUAGGGAGCAGGUUCCGAUGAAGGUUGAGAGUGAUGUACAACAAAUUGCAGCAGAUUCAUGGGCUCCAUUAUUGAGCAGGUUAACUCAAUCAGGUUUGCAGCCAUCUGCAUAGCACCUACCUAAAGUGGCGGCAUACAUAUGAUUUGGGGGAAACAAUAAUUUGGGGCAAACAACAGAGUUGAUGUUGUCAUCUUCUCUCUCUCUCUCUCUCUCUCUCUCUCUCCAGUCUUCCCCCAUUUCUUCUUUCCAGAUACAAUAGAGUAGACAGCAAGCAUAAAUCAUGAUACAAGACUAGGGCUAUCAAAGGUAAUAACAAGGUGAAGAAAAUCAUGCAAAAGAUAUAUCAUGAUAAUCAAGCAUAAUAAUAGGUAUUAAACUCCAGAAAGGAUCGAAACCAGGUAGGUAGCUCUAGAUAUUAAAAACAGGUGCUUAUUACUUUCCAGGUUGUCACAUGUCACCCAUCACAACUAAGGAGAAACUUUGGGGUGCAUUUAUUCUCAACUCAUCUACGAUGGAGCUCCAGUUUAUUGGUAGUGGAGAUAGCUAGUGUCCAUCCAUAUCCUUGAUCUUCAGCCUGAGCAUGGCAUUUCUGUUCCAAACGAAAUAGGAAAACACAAAGGAUCAGGGAUGAAGAUGAUUAAGCACAAGUGAAACAAGACAAAUUGGCAAGUAAUUUUGCAACAACAUUCAAAUGUUAUGAUCACUCAAAAUGCAUAAUCAUAUAAUUGACCAAGCAAUGAUGACUAGAUGCUUCCAUACCCCAAACAUGUUGUAUUUUUCCUUCUACAACGUGAAAAGUAAAGAACACAAUAGUCAAUGAGGGUAUAAGUCACCAAGGGGGAGUUUUUAGACUGGAUUAUACACUUGACAUGUAGGGAGAAAAUAUCAUGGUGGUAUUUCUAAAUUGAAAAACAUUCAAUAACACAAGUGUGCCGAUGUAAAUUAUGCUAUCCAGAACUGAUAGGUGUGGGAAUAAUGGCAUGCUUAAAUAGACAUACAUGGAAAUUUUAUUCCAUGACCGUAUCCUUUCUCGCAUAAAGAAAAAUUACAGUAUUCUAAAAAAACUGCAAGUAUGUACAUCCAAAGUAACAUGAGUGAGUUUCACCAUUCAAGGUCAGCUUACUUGUGAUAAGAAUUCAUAUAAUGUGAUAUCAAUAUGUGAGAAAUGAAGAAGAUGCAAUACAUGAACUUCCAUUCUUCAACUGCUAAUCCCUCUCCCUAAUUUCCCGGAUAUAUAACCCAAGACAACAACAACAAUCAUGACCACAUAGAUAAAAAACCAACUAUAGAGAAAUCAUGCUACAGGUACAGAAAACAUCUCAAUUGUUGCUUACUAGUCUUCCUAAAAUGGCUCGGGGAAUCAAUUAUGUACCUACCACCAUUCCAUGAAUGUACUACACCAUGACUGUUGAUGCACCAUUAAUUAAAAUAGAUUGAUAGAAUGGCUCGGGGAAUCAAUUAUGUACCUACCACCAUUCCAUGAAUGUACUACCACUAGUCUUCCUAAAACAUCUCAAUAGUUUGGCAAUGCCAUUCAUUCUUAACUACACCGGAUAUGUUGGCGAAUUGAUCUAAGCUACAGAUUUUAGCUUUAAAGCACACAACAAGACAAAGCAACUGAAUAGAAAAUAGAUUGAUAGAAUGUACAAUUCAAAAAAAUUAUAACCUCAACAAGAAAACAGAUUAUAUGAAGGCCAAAAAACAAACCUUUUAGGAUCAUCCUUGAGUGCAGGAAAUAUGGGAGGCCAAAUCAUCAUAAGAGGAUGGAUUUCACAGAAAAAUUUAUCACCGUCUUCCUUCUCAUACACCUUAUGCAUUGUUUUGCGCUUGAUGUCCAAGAGGAAUGUGCAUCGACCCAUGUCCAAGAACACAAACUCGGCAUUGUCUCCUGCCUGGUUUAUCAGCAGAGAAGCAUUGCCAUCUACCAUACUCAAAUCAGCACACAUCUCACGCAAAUAAAUGGUGUCCAUCAGCAACCAUGUGUACCCAUUGUGGAGCCAGAUGCGAAGUUGAAAUUUCUUGACAUGGAUAAGAUAUACACCAGCAACAUCAUCGGCCUGUGACAAUAUGGUGUUUCUCUCACCAUACUCCAUCCCUUCUGGGAGCUCAAUUAUGGAGAAACUUGAGGCCGCCAAAUCCAAGACAAUAAUGUUGCUCCAGCCAGCUGGCACAUAGAUUUUAUUGUUGGACAACACAGAUUUAAGUACUGACCAUGGACGAGGGGGCUGCUGUAUGAUCAAGCUAUGAUUCAUGCGCCAUAUGCCAUGUUUCAAGAUAUAUAUGUAUACCUAUGUUUUCCAUCCGUUGUUUGGUGCAUCAACACAUACAAGUAAGACAAAUCAUCGCCCUCUUCUUUGGACAUGAUUCUAGAGUAAGCAGUACCAUCAAAUAAGUACGGAGAUUGGGGGCGUGGGAACGGUGGGAGGAUGUCCAUGCCUCUCUCAGGACGCACCACGUUGUGCACUGCAAACGUGGUUCCAAUUAUAUCAUGCUGCCUAAUGAGGACGUUGCCAUUCCGGCAACCAAGGAUGUAGGUUGGUACCGAUGGUACUCUCUUAUAGGUGCCCAAUCUAGAGGUUGCGCGACGGAUGACAGCAGUGAGUUCACGGGGCUGAGGCAAUAUUGGGAUGAAGUGCGGGGUGUUCUGACCUUUGUUGGAGUAGAAGCCAAGAAGGCGGGGCGGGUGGAUCUCACAAAAUCGAUGGAGAAAGGCGCAAUCGGAGGCAUGGGCGAGCCAACGUGUGCAUACGAGGGCGGAGUUGAGAAGGGUGGUGGUGAAUACGGUGCGGAGGAGGAUCUCACUGAGGAGGUCGUCGUCCUCGAGCAGCUUGGAUAUCGCCACCAUUGAUGUUGGGGAACGCUGGUCAAACCGGGGUUAGGGGAAAAGAAUUGUAGGUCGAUGCCGGGGACGGGGGAGGCGAAAUUGCCGACGAAACUGUGACACUCAUCCUUUAAUUACUUACGUUUCAGGCAAGUGAAGAAACGGCUUUUGGCACCUACCCCAAAAAUAAAUGACCACCCAGCCUGGCCAAUUAAGCCAAAAAUGGUAACUGUCGCAGUGUGCAGCAACUGUGGCCACCUGCUUUUAUCUUCCUUUUUAUUGCGGUGGCGUGCGUUGCUUGCCUUUGUGAUCCCCACAUCGGUCCACUACGGUCACCAUUCAGGUCCUGACCCAUUCCAAGCUGCUCAUGACAUGACCGUGCUCCCCUUCAAACUAAAAGAGCACACUUUGUUAUGAUAUUUUUAUGUGUUAGCGGUGGGCAUGUACAAUUUGCAAAGUAGAACAAAUGACCAUGGACGUAUUAAAUUACUUAUGUGUUUUAUUUUAUAAUGCAAAAGUUUAUUGUUUCUUACUGGAAAGUUUAUAUUUUCUGAGUAGGAAGUGCGGUCACCGAAAAGAUAUUUGUAUUUGAGUAAAAAAUGUGUGGGUUUGGUAGAAAGUUUAUAGUCCCGAUUAGAAAGUCUAUAUUAAUUGCUGAAUAGAAUAUACUAUGUAAGCCCGUUUGUUUCCGAGUAGAAAGUUUAUCAUUCAAGUAGAAAAUUUGUAAUUAAAAAAUUUGUAAUUUCUAUAUUGCCUGGUAAAAAGGUAUCAGCUUAGUCAAAACUUUAAUGGUUUUGUAUAUAAAGUUUUUCUAAUACGUUUUGAAAGUUUGUGUUUAUAAGUAGAAAUUCUAUAUUGCAUGGCAGGAAGGUAUUAUCUACUUCAAAUGCUCAUGGUCUUUUAGUUAAAUAAAAGUUUUUCCAACAUAAACAUAAAGUUUGUGCUUCUGAAGUAGAAAGUCCAACCAAUAGAGCUCAACAUUAUGUGUAAACUUUCAUCCAACAAACACCAAUAGAGCUCAACACUGAAUAGCAGUUCGGAAGCUUGCAUUUAGAAAAUUUUGUCUUGUACAAACUCUAGAUUAGAGCAGUGGAGAACUACCCAGUCUAAAUAAAUAGAAUCAACAAUGCUUUCAUGUUCAGUGAUAACACAAGAUCAAAAUUGCAUUCAGAAAUUUUGUCUCCACAUGACACUCUUCCACAACAAAACAGCAAAAUUCAGGUGGAAGGAGGCACGGUAGAAUCAAGCUUCAAAGGAGCAACGGCCCAUUCCCCCACCGGUGUCGCUGGUGCGCGUGUCAUCGCCCACAGAGUUCUGCUGCCCCACCGCAUAGUCGGCGUCGUCGGGGAGGCUGCCUUGGCUGACAUCCUUGCCUACCCCAUGAGCAGCGCGCGUAGUCACCCACGCAGUCCUGCACGGUGGACGCCAACCUCGGCGCCGUAGAUGGUCCCUUGUUCUUCUUGCUCCAAUACUCUGUAAUUUCUUUAUAUUGGAUCUCUGGUGAACUUAAAUUUUCCUUUAGGCUGCAACAUUCAUUCAGCUAAGGAACUGAAUAUGAACAACUAACCAAAAGCUAGCCCAAUUGUCUGCACUAGAAUUUGGACGACAUCAAAUACAGACCAAUAUCUUAGAAGGGUGAGCAACGCCAAGGUCGGGCGGGCCAUCGCACUGGGUUGGCAUGGGCAGCCCCAAGGCCGUCGGCUCGUCGUCGCGUCAGAGCAGCCCCGAGGGCGCCAGGUGAUCGUUGCCUGAGGCAGUGCUAAGGCAGCCGGCUCGCCGUUGCGCGCCGAGGCAGCAGGAUCACCGUUGCGUGGUGCAGCACCCGCCAUUGCGUGGGGGCUCGCCUGGUCGCCCUCACAUAGGUCAGAUGAGGCGGCGGCGAGAUUUGGGUUAGAACUUGGAAGGAUAGGAGUGGGGUAGAAUAACUUGACAGGGAGUUACCAAUAUACUGAGAGAGGGGGCUAUGUGAAAAAUGGAGUUAAGUGGAUGGUUAGUACUCCCGCCAUUGAUAUCUGCCGCUCGCUAUUGAUCCAAGGUCCCACGAUGGAAGUUUCUAGAUUUGCACUGAAUUCCAGUUUUCACUUGAUACUUCGCCCAGUUUUAAUGUCUCUAAAUUUAAAAGAGUGCGAGUGAUCUUACAUGCCCAUGGAGGGGCUGAUAUAGCCUAGGGGUUCUUUGACAUAAUUUUUGAUUGAAGAAAAAAGAUUUUUGAUAGAUGACCAAGGCUACCAUUGAAGUAAGGAGUUGGGAGGGUAGAACUAGGUAAUUGUUCGUAUGUUGGCCCAUGUGCUCAUAAUUGGGCUAGGAGGUGGUUUAUCCCAUUUGGAGAGAGAUCCCCUCCACCAUACAUGGGCCUUCUUUAAUUCUUGGACUUGGGCUUCUUUGAUCCAGUGUUUCAUCUUUGUCUUAUUCUCUUAUAUGCGGUCUCCUUUCUUUGAUUUGUUUAUCACUAGUAAGUGUGCAUGUGCAACACAUGUUAUAAUCUUUGCAAGAAAAUUUCUCAUUACCAUCUUAAUAUAUAUGAUUUCCGAUCUUCCUUAUAUACUUCCAAUUUUAAACAAAUGAUGGGCAGGAAUUAUGUUUAAAAAAUAAUUUGUAACACAGGAGAAUACAAUGUGAUAAUCACGCUUCAGUCGUAAGGGGUGAAGAAUGAUUACCAGUAUAUCUACAUCUCAGGACUGAUAAGAAACAACGAAAAUGUAGUCAAGAUGGCCAACAAGCUAACCUUAUUUUCCAUUGAAUCUUUGAUAUAAUCACAUCAAUGCAAACCAAUGACUUUGAGUUUUUCAAAUGGAUGCUUCUCCCUUAGUUCUUUAUGUUAAUUCAAUACUUGAAUUGUUGCCUUUGCUACCUGCACACAAGAGCUGUUUACAUACUGAAGACUGGGGGGAGUAACAUCCUUCUCAAUGUGUUUUUUCCAUACUUCAUACUUGUCAUAACUUUGAUAUAUAAUAAUUGACAGCUUUGCGAAUCUGAGUUUGAUAUUGAAACAAACUUAAAAUUAGCAAGACACACUGGUGUUCAUUUGAAAAGGUUCAUACUUCUUUCCUGGAAAACUUAUUUUCAGAAUAUCAUUUGAUGUCCAUCUCAUUUUUGAGAUGGCAGAUAGGCCCCAUUGCUACAUAGUAGUUUAAAAAGGUUCAAGGGCAAUUAUGCAAGGGAGGGUGGAUUAAACAGAACACCUCCAUUUGUUAUGCUUCCUUUGUCUUCCAAGCUACAUUUACAUACAUAGUACCGAUACGGCUUCUGUCAACCGAAAACAACAUAAUGUUCAGCUGUGUUGCAGAGCAGACCUACACAAACAUCCUGAUGGCUGGAAGAAAAAUUUAAACUGGCCUCCAUGGUUGAUAUGUAUUCUAUUCUCUCUGCAACCAGAAAAUCAUCUGAUCAUGUCAGACACAUUAGAGUAUUGUAAAAAAAGUGCAUGAAAGGACUCAUCAUAUAUGCUUGAACUAAAAGAAAGAAAGUGCAUAAACACAUUGACAGAAAAAUACUAAUCCACCGAACAAGGGACAAGGGAGGAAUGAGGUUGACAGAGGAUCGCUCACCAUUUGUUUCCUGGUAGAUCCAUGCACACAUAAGAAAAAAAAAAGAAUGAAUUUCACAGAAAAAAAGAAAUAAAACAAGUAAGAGAAUCUAGAAUAGUUGGAACACCACUAAACACCAAAUUAUCAAAGAAAAAAAUGAUAUUGUGAUCUAUACCUCAAACGCCUUGAACUUAUGAGUCAUGACACACACUGCCUGUUCCCUGUUUGGUCUUCUGCUUCAAUAAGAUUGGUGACUAAUCCUAUUGGGUCUUCCACAGUACCAACAGUUCCUAAUACGUCUGUCUGCUCUCUCGAUACUCUCUAGCUGCAAAGCCUCGUGCGUAUGAGGUAUGAGAUGAUCAACACUUGCUAAUAUGAUGGCAGUGAAUUAGAUGAUUUUUUUCGCGAAUACGCAAAGCUUGCGUAUCAUUCAUAGACAUACAAGAGGAAAAGAGAGAACACCACACAAGGUGUGGGAAAGACACAAGAAGGGAUAUAACACAGCAUAGACUCUCCUAGCUCGAAGUCUAGCCUGCGGCAAAGAGACGAGAUACGCCAGGAGGAGCAGCCCGGACCAGCAAAGCAUCCGAAGUCUUCAAAUCCAACACCGAGCACACCACGAGCAACAAGACACUGCCUUCAUGAAGGAUACAACGCCGAGCCGCCGUCGCUGUCCGAUCUAGCCGACUAGAUCUAGGGUUUCCCCCGAUACUCGCGUAGGGGCGCAGAGAAGAGGCCAUGGUGGCACCUCCAAGAAGGAAACGGCACCCGCAAGUGUCGUUGCCACCAGCAUCGGCAAGCCGAGCAAGGCUUUCGCCCGGCCAAAUUCCGCACAAUCACAAAGGUUGGUGGAUCAAGAUUCAGAGACAAGGAAACCAAAGCAGGCCGAGACCACAACCACCAGAAGGAGAGCCGCGCCAAUCACCGGGAAGAUGACAUUGGGCACUGCUGGACACACCACCACACACAACCAUCACGGGGCUCGAUCCACCGCUCAUGGCACACCACAACCAGCACAAGUGACAUGCAUGGCUGGGAGCCUAGGACGAGGCUCCGCUGUCGGGAAGACGCCAGGUAGCCCAAGGCCAGGGGGAAUCAGCCCCACCCCGGGCAACCACGGAGGAGGCACGGCCAAUACAAGGUCCUGCGGCCAGGAGGACGCCAGACAACCAAGGAUAGGGGGGUCGGGUGGUAGGGAGAGGUGCUGCAUAGGGGAGGGCAGGGGAGGGGGGACGCGCCGCGCCAGGGCAUCACUGGUGACGACGGCUGGGAGGGACUGCGGCGGCGGCGCCAGAUCUGACGUUGGAGGGGCAGCGCCGGGGCGGCCAACCAGGAGGCGCGGGGAGGAGGGAUUAUUGGAUCCACCACCAGGAGGAGCGUCGCCGGCCACCAGGCCGCCGAGAAGGGCGCCGACGAGCCACCCGCAGGCGGGCCGCCAGCCGCGGGGCCCUGCGGGAGGAGAGGAGAGCCGCGCCACAGGGGGGAAGGCCCCGCCGCCGCCGCUACGACGCGGGCUUCGCCCGGUGGUGGCCUCCAGCGGCAGGGAGGGGAUUAGCUGGAGAUGGGGAGCCGACGUCGGCGCCAUUGGGGGCUGCCGCCCGUGUCGCCUACCCUAGGCGACGCGGGGGCCGAGCGGGAGGGUCUCUUUGCACGUUCGAAAAUCUAAUCAAGCCACUGUACGCAUGUGGUCGCACUAGUAGAAAACGGAGCUUUAAAACCGGUUCGUAAGGGCCUUUAGUGCCGGUUCCAUAACCGGCACUAAUUGGUGGGCACUAAAGCCCCCCCCCUUUAGUACCGGUUCGGCACGAACCGGCGCUAAAGUGCCACCACGUGGCGUGAGCUCGCGCCCUGGUAUUACCAACCGGUACUAAAAGUUUUUUUUGAAUUUUUUUUUUGAAAAUUUUGGAUUUUUUUUCGAUUUUUUUUUCAAUUUUUAUUUUUUCUGAAUUAUUUGGUGAUCUAGUCUCUAAUCACCUCUCUUAACUGCUCAAGUGUGGAUCACUCAUUCCAAAUCAUAUAACUUCCCGACCGGUCACCCAUCCCUCUCACUACUCCAGCCCGAGCACGCUUAACUUUCGGGUUCUAUUCUCCUUUGUUUCCAAGUCUGCACUUGUUGUUUUCCUGACAAUAGUAAGAUGCCAAUCCUAUUAACCCUCAGGAGUUUAGCUUGAGCAUGAAGUCACACAUUUCACUGUUUGAGUUUGAAACUAUUAUUCUAAAAAACAGUAAUUAUUUAGUAACACUAAUAUUUUUGAGUAAGUUUGACCAUAGUUUGACCACAGUUUGACCAUAGUUUGACCAGAUUUGACCAAAAUUCAAAAAAUUAAAAUAAUUAUUUAGUAACACUAAUAUUCUUGAAUAAUUAUGUGUAACAUUAAUACUUCUUGAAUAAGUAGUUUGAUCAGAUUUAACAAUUUUUUUUAAAAAAACUUAAAUUUGACCAUAUCUUUUUUUCUUUUUGGAAUUUGAGGAUUCUAAAGUAUUGCAAACAGGCCAUAGGCGGUCUCCAUCGGAUGCGAAUUUUCAUGCUGAAUUUUUUGAUAUAUUACACGUUUUUUUCCGACAUCGUAUGCAAAAGUUAUAGCCGUUUUACAUUUUCCCUACAUUUUUUGCAAAACAUGUCCAAAUUUAAGUUUUCAAAUUUUCCUAACUAGUAGAUGUAGUAAUAUAACUACCUCUCGAAGGAUUUUAUUUUUUGAAGUNNNNNNNNNNNNNNNNNNNNNNNNNNNNNNNNNNNNNNNNNNNNNNNNNNNNNNNNNNNNNNNNNNNNNNNNNNNNNNNNNNNNNNNNNNNNNNNNNNNNNNNNNNNNNNNNNNNNNNNNNNNNNNNNNNNNNNNNNNNNNNNNNNNNNNNNNNNNNNNNNNNNNNNNNNNNNNNNNNNNNNNNNNNNNNNNNNNNNNNNNNNNNNNNNNNNNNNNNNNNNNNNNNNNNNNNNNNNNNNNNNNNNNNNNNNNNNNNNNNNNNNNNNNNNNNNNNNNNNNNNNNNNNNNNNNNNNNNNNNNNNNNNNNNNNNNNNNNNNNNNNNNNNNNNNNNNNNNNNNNNNNNNNNNNNNNNNNNNNNNNNNNNNNNNNNNNNNNNNNNNNNNNNNNNNNNNNNNNNNNNNNNGUGGCACAAACCGGUACUAAAGGUUAGCCCUUUAGUACCGGUUUGUGGCACGAACCGGUACUAAAGGUGAUCAUGGGGCCCCAGCCUGACGCUAGCCUGCCAUCACCCCUUUAGUACAGGUUUGUGACACGAACCGGUACUAAAGGUUCAACACGAACCGGCAUUAAUGCAUAGUCGUUCGAACCGGCACUGAUGGUACCAGUAGUGUCGGCUCAAAUUCAAACCGGCACUAAUGUGCUUCACGUUUGACCCAUUUUUCUACUAGUGUCGUGGGACGGCAACCUUGGUCUUCGAUGAUGUCUCCGAUGAGAGGGCGAGCGGAGUCUGCUCAUUGGCCUCCGUGAGGACGCCGUUGUGGUGUUGUAGACCUCUCAGUCAGCAGUUGGAAGCCGUCUCAGAGCGAGGUGAUGUCCCGCAGAUCAAAGCAGUUACUAUUGGAAAUAUGAGCAAAUUACUACGAGAUUUAAUCCGAAUAAACAGAAGAUAAAUCAUGACCACAGCACAGAGAUUAAACUAAUCAUGCGAACUAGCAUAGCACAUGAACAUAUCACAUCUAGGGCACAUACUAGAAGCAUGAAUUCUACCACGAUCUCGAACAGGAAGGAUAGAAUCACAUACGGUGCAGCGGGUGCAGCACCGCCGGCGUUGACGUUGUCACCCAUGUCGUCGAGGACGAGGUUGCCGAGGUCAGGGAAGAAGUCAUCGUUUGCGAAGUCGUUCCGAGGCCUGCUGUCCCUUCUCGCGUACAGGAUCACGAGAGGCGGGGUUCCGGAGGCCUGCUGUCCCUUCUCGCGAUGCACGCCGGAAGGAGGGAUGGAGAAGACUUGCUUGGCGGUGCAAUGAUCUGGAAUGGUGGUGAAAAACCAUACGAAGCGGCGGCGGCUAGGGUAGACGUCUACCUGACUAUAUAGUGCGGGCCGGGUAGGUCGUGGGAGUAAACCCCACGUCCGAGUCGUCAUGAUCCAAAAGAAUCGGAAACGGUUCAGUAAUUAACGCGUCCGUUAAUUAUUAAUUAAUGACUCAUUAAUUUUCCCAUGCAGCAAAAAUAUAGACAACAUGCAUAGCUCUGUCCUCGGCUCGGCUCAAUCCCGCAACCCGCGGUGCAUUGUGACGAGGCGUGGCGUGGCGAGGCAAGCGAGGAGGAGGAGCGCGCGUGUAGGUCUCCUCUUCUCAUGCUCAUACAAGUGGUAGAAGAGCUCACCUUAUAAAGAGGUGCAACUCUCUCUCAACUUCCGGGGUGUGUCUAAACAUUAGCCUCACUCACUCCACUCACAUGUGUGCAUGAAUGGGCCAAGAGAAUUUCAGAAUUUUAGUUGGGCUCUGGGCCAAAGGCCUACUAGCAAAAUUUCAACAAUCCCCCACAAAGUCUCAUUGGCACAUCUCAUCAUUUAGUUCCAAAACAUUGUUUUAUAUAUCGGUGCUUAGUGGAGACUGUGAAGUUAAACUUCCACUUAGAAAUUUAUGCUACACUAGAUCACAACUUGAAUAGUGGACUAUGCCUUGAACUACAAGUUUUCUGUGAAACUAGUUUCACACAAAUUCUUGACCGAUACUGGGCCGCCGCAAGGCUUCCCCGCGGGUGGAGCGUAUACGUCAUACUCCAGGGCCUUUCAUGAAUUUAUUAGAGAACACCCAAUUCUCACAGACUGCGACGUUAACAGUCAAAUUCAUAUAGGUGUGUUCCUCAGAAGAUGUUCUGCAGGACAACAUCUCUGCUUACCCGAAUAAGCCACUUGGAACACAUUAAGUAUCAACCUGCCAUGCAGACCAGGAGAGUAUUGCAUCUUCACGGAGUGGAAUAAUUAAUAUAGGGAUACUCUCCUCCCAGCUGACCAACAGCUUGUCUCCUACUUCUACUUCACGGGAUCUCCGAUCACAUAGAGUGGGUUACCACUAUGGACAACUCAUGCGGUGGGUCUCAAACCCAUCUCCAUCGAUGCAUUUUCUAUCACAUUACGUGAUAGACCCUUUGUGAAGGGAUCUGCCAAGUUUUUCGACGUUUGGAUAUAAUCCAACGUAAUAACUCCGGAGUUCCUCAAUUUUCUGACAGAUUUUAGUCUCCUCUUCACAUGCCUUGAGGACUUCAUAUUGUCCUUAGAACUGUUUGUCUUGACGAUCACAGUUUCAUUAUCACAGUUCAUCAGGGUAGGGGGUAUUGGUUUUUCAACCAUAGGUAAGUCCAUUAAGAGUUCACGAAGCCACUCUGCUUCAACAGUGGCAGUGUCUAAUGCUGUGAGUUCUGCUUCCAUAGUUGACCUCGUUAAGAUGGUCUACUUGCAAGACUUCCAGGAAACAGCGCCACCACCAAGUGUAAAAACAUAACCACUUGUGGUCUUAAUCUCAUCAGCAUCAGAUAUCCAGUUUGAGCCACUAUAACCCUCCAGUACCCUUGGAUACCCGGUGUAGUGAAUCCCAUAGCUCGUGGUGCCUUUCAAAUAGCGCAUAACUCUCUCAAGUGCAUUCCAAUGAUCAUCUCCCGGUUUUGACACAAACCGACUCAGCUUGCUCACAGCAAAAGAGAUGUUAGGCCUCGUGGCACUCGCCAAAUACAUAAGCGAGCCAAUAAUCUGAGAAUACCUCAGUUGAUCUCUAGCAAUCCGUCGAUUCUUUCGAAGCAACACACUAGCAUCAUAUGGAGUUGGAGAAGGCGUGCAGUCGCUAUACCCAAAACGACUCAAGACCUUUUCCACAUAAUGAGACUGAAGCAGUGUGAUCCCACCAUCCUCAUCUCUCAACAGCUUGAUGUUUAAGAUAACAUCAGCUACUCCUAGAUCCUUCAUCUCAAAACAGCGAGAUAAGAAAUCCGUAACCUCCUUGAUUAAAUCAAGUUUGGUUCCAAAGAUCAAUAUGUCGUCAACAUACAGACAAAGAAUAACUCCUUCGCCCCCACCAUAGCGGUAGUACACGCACUUGUCACCAUCGUUUACUACAAAGCCGGCAGCAGUUAAUGUUCUUUCGAACUUCUGGUGCCACUCCUUAGGAGCUUGUUUAAGGCCAUAUAAAAACUUUAAUAACUUGCACACCUUUCCUUCCUGACCUGGUACUACAAAACCAUCUGGUUGAUCCAUGUAAAUUUCCUCCUUCAACUCUCCAUUGAGGAAAGCCGUCUUAACGUCCAUUUGAUGAACGAGAAGACCAUGUGAGGCAGCCAGUGAUAGUAGCACCCGAAUUGUGGUCAGUCUAGCCACGGGUGAGUAAGUAUCAAAGAAGUCUUCACCUUCUUUCUGGGUAUAACCCUUGGCCACAAGCCGUGCCUUGUACUUUUCAAUCGUACCAUCAGGUCUAAGCUUCUUCUUAAACACCCACUUACAUCCUACAUGUUUGCACCCAUAAGGACGGUCAGUGAUCUCCCAGGUACCGUUAGCUAAGAUGGAAUCCAUCUCGCUACGUACAGCUUUCUUCUAGUAGUCAGCAUCAGGAGAUGCAUAGGCUUCUGAAAUAGUUCUGGGUGUGUCAUCCACGAGGUACACAAUGAAAUCAUCACCAAAAGACUUUGCAGUCCUCUGUCUCUUACUCCUCACAGGAGUUCCAUUGUUACCCUCAACCGGAUUCUCAAUGUGUUCCAUCGCAAUGGUGGGUUCAGGAAUUACAACGAAUUCCUCACUAGAUGGAGUAGGUAUCUCCUGAUUUGAUGAACUCGACAUAUCCUUCAUAGGAAAUAUGUCCUCAAAGAAAGUUGCAUCAUUUGAUUCCAUAAUCGUACCAACAUGCAUGUCGGAUACCUCAGAUUUUAUUAUCAAAAAUCUAUAGCCGAUGCUAUGAAAAGCAUAGCCCAGAAGAACAUAAUCCACGGUUUUUGGUGCAAGCUUGCGCUUCUUGGGAAUUGGUAUAUUGACUUUCGCCAAACAACCCCAAGUACGUAGGUAAGAGAGUUUUAACCUUUUCCUUUCCCAUUCCUCAAAUGGAGUCAUGGUCUUAUGCUUUGUGGGAACUCGGUUUAGAACAUGACACGCAGUCAUUAGCGCCUCCCCCCACCAUUCCUUGGAUAGACCCGAAGUGUCUAACAUGGUGUUAACCAUAUCAGUUAGAGUUCGGUUCUUUCUUUCAGCUACCCCAUUUGACUAGGGUGAGAAGGGAGGCGUCCUCUCAUGGAUUAUACCAUGUUCCGCACAAAACAGAUCAAAUUCAUUGGAAAAAUACUCUCCACCACGAUCGGACCUAAGCCGUUUAAUUUUUUGAACAAGUUGGUUCUCUGCCUCAGCUUUAUAAUUUUUAAAGAAAGUCAAAGCCUCAUCUUUUGAUUUCAGAAGAUACACAUAACAAUAUCUAGUGGAGUCAUCAAUCAACGUCAUGAAGUAUCUCUUUCCACCUUUUGUCAACACGCCAUUCAUCUCACAAAGAUCAGAAUGUAUAAGCUCUAGUGGCGCCAAGUCUCUUGCCUCUGCAGUCUUAUGGGACUUGCGAGGUUGCUUAGCUUGCACACAUACUUGCCACUUGGAGCCUUUGACAGUAGAGAUUUUCAGAAUUAAAUUCAUAUUGGCUAACCGCGUCAUGCAACCAAAGUUAAUAUGACAGAGUCAUGAAUGCCAAAUAUCAGACUCAUUAUUGUGGCAAACAUUAUUAAUAACUUUAGUGCAAAUAUCUGACAAAGAUAGGCGAAACAAGCCUCCGCACUCAUAGCCUUUUCUAACAAAUUGUCCAACUUAGAAAUUACAACUUUAUUGGAUUCGAAAACCAACUUAAAACCAUCUCGACAUAAACGGGAACCGCUAACGAGAUUUUUAUUGAUGGACGGCACAUGAUGAACGUUCUUCAGACGCACAGUCUUCCCCGAAGUAAACUUCAGAUCAACCGUACCAACACCUCGAACGAUGGCAUGUGACCCGUUUCCCAUCAGCACGGGUGAAGUCCCUGUUGCCCUGAUUCCUUCAUAUCAGUAUCACCGAUGACAACAUUAGCAGACUUGCCGCUCUUCUCAUGUUCGCGCUCCUCAAAGCAGUUAGGACACUUCGGAGCCCAGUGAUUAGGAUCACCGCAGACAUGGCAAAGUCCCUUCCCCUUCUUAUGAGAAUUCUUCUUGAAGUUGGUAGAAUAUGAUGGCUUGUUCUUUGUAUCAAACUUGCCUUUACCCUGAGUUUUGUUCUUAUUGUUUUUGAACUUGUUGGGCUGGGAGUUCUUCUUCUGUACCAUGUGGGCACUAGAACCUCCCUCAGCAACUCGAGCACGUGUGUCCUUUGCUCUCGCCUUCUCUUCAACAUCAAGAGUACCAAUGAGAUCCGCAAUAGAAAACUCCUGUCUCUUGUGUUUCAGGGAAGUAGCAAAAUUGUUCCACGAAGGUGGAAGCUUGGCAAUGAUGCCUCCGGCAACAAAUUUGUCCAGCAACACACACUUGAAGUACUCCAAUUCUUUUGCGAGCGACUGUAUCUCAUGAGCCUGCUGUACAACAGGGCGCUCAUCAGUCAUCUUGUAGUCAUAGAAUUGCUCCAUGACGUACAACUCGCUGCCGGCGUCCGAGGCACCAAACUUGGCCUCCAGCGCAACCCACAUGUCCUUGCCGUUGUCAAACGACAUAUACGAAUCCAUAAUGGAGUCAUCAAGAACACUCAGAAGAGCGCCUUUAAAGAGGGUAUCGAUCUUCUCAAAAGCUUCUAGCUGUGCUGGAUUAAGAUCGCCCUCAGGCUUGCCCUUGGUGGCACAUAGCAGCCCAUGGUCUGAAACUAGUAGACUGCUCUCAUGCGCCACCUUUUAUAUUGCGCCCCCUUAAAGGCAGGCGGCUUCAGAUGCGCAGCAAAACCACUCGGAAUAAAUUGCGUAUAAUCAGGUUUUUGGAUUGUUGGAAAUAUGAGGAAAUUACUAUGAGAUUUAAUUCGAAUAAACAGAAGAUAAAUCAUGACCACAGCAGCAGAGAUUAAACUAAGCAUGCGAACUAGCAUAGCAGAUGGACAUAUCACAUCUAGGGCAUAUACUAGAAGCAUGAAUUCUACCACGAUCUCGAACAGGAAGGAUAUAAUCACAUAUGGUGCAGCGGGUGCAGCACCGCCGGCGUUGACGUUGUCGCCCAUGUCGUCGAGGACGAGGUUGCCGAGGUCGGGGAAGAAUUCGUCGUUCGCGAAGUCGUCGCUGUCAGCAGUCGCGCGAGUGCACUCCCCAAAAACCUGAUCGCCCCUCUCCCGUACAGGAUCACGAGAGGCGGGGUUCUGGAGGCCUGCUGUCCCUUCUCGCGGUGCACGCCGGAAGGAGGGAUGGAGAAGACUUGCUUGGCGGCGCAAUGAUCUGGAACGGUGGUGAGAAACCAUACGAAGCGGCGGCGGCUAGGGUAGACGUCUGCCUGACUAUAUAGUGCGGGCCGGGUAGGUCGUGGGAGUAAACCCCACGUCCGAGUCGUCACGAUCCAAAAGAAUCGGAAACGGUUCAGUAAUUAACGCGUUCGUUAAUUAUUAAUUAAUGACUCAUUAAUUUUCCCAUGCAGCAAAAAUAUAGACAACGUGCAUAGCUCUGUCCUCGGCUCGGCUCAAUUCCGCAACCCACGGCGCGUCGUGACGAGGCGAGGCGUGGCGUGGCGAGGAGGAGGAGCGCGCGUGUAGGUCUCCUCUUCUCAUGCUCAUACAAGUGGUAGAAGAGUCACCUUAUAAAGAGGUGCAACUCUCUCUCAACUUCCGGGGUGGGACUAAACUUUAGCCUCACUCACUCCACUCACAUGUGUGCAUGAAUGGGCCAAGAGAAUUUCAGAAUUUUAGUUGGGCUUUGGGCCAAAGGCCUACUAGCAAAAUUCCAACAGUUACCGCCCCCGUAGGCUCGCGUCGGCGUUGUGCGCCGCCUCUCGUCAGAUACUGUCGCCACCGGAGGUUCACCAUCGAGGCCGCCGGCUGCGCCCCUGCCCUUCCUCAUCUCCCUUCCUUAUGUUCUUCUCUAGCUCCUCACCUUCGAAGCUCUCUCUCCCUAGAACCGCAGUUAGCCAGGGAGGAGGUCAGCUGCCACCAGCGUCCCUCCGACUCGCCGGAGCCGCCCGUCGUCGACCCAUCCGGCUACCAUCCUCCUGAUCCAUGCCAGCCCCGCUGGAACUGCCCGUUGUUGACCAUCCGGCUGUCAUCCGCCAGAUCCACGCCAGCCCCGCCGGACUCCAUGCUCAUCACCGUUCCCUGCAUCGAGCUGCCGCCGCCGCUCGGCGUUGAUCGCAUCGCUCGCUUGGUAGUAUCUGUUUGCGAUCGGGUUGUGUUUUUUUCCUUGGAUUAAGGAAGCGAUGUAUUGGGGUGGACGCGGGGCGCGGAACGAUUUGGUUCGGCAGAGUUUUGGGCCACCAGGGUAAUUUGCUAAACGCACUUUUGGAUGAGGGUUAGUAUAAUCUUGACGAUUAGAUCAAGUUAAGUGGUCCUAAUUGUAAGGUUGUAAUUGAUCUAUGUUGUUACAUGUACGUUAGGCUGGGUGCACUUAGUGAUUAAUAUGUUUGAUUGUUUAAUAGUAAUAGAGAUGAGGGUUUAAUUGGACUUUUGUUGACCGAAGUGGUUUGCUUGAACGCAUAGAAGCUUGCUUGGACUAUUUUGACCAUCUUGACUUAUGUUGACUAUCCUUCACUUCCCUUUACUAGCCUUGACUUCAGUUGAAUGGCCAGUUUCGGUGAUUGCCUAGGUGGCAUUCCACAUUUCAUGUAGGAUAGCGGAUGGGACUUUACUGCUCAUAGUGAGAGUAAUAUAAGUAGUAACAUGCAUGCCACAUAGGCAAAAAAUAUGACAUGGCAAGUAAUUAAUAAGGAGAAAUGCAAAUGGACUAACAUAAUAUGUUAUCAUCACAUAGCGAUUCUCAAUGUAAAAUGGGUCUACAAAGUAAUAAAUGAAGCUCUGAAUGUUAUCACAUCUAUGACACUAUUAGGAUUAAUUUAAUUCUGUAAUUAAGGAUCGUCCUCCCUUGUACAACCGUUCGUGUGGAUUGCUGCCAACCGAUGCGGCGGUUCUCCCACGCCCCCAUGACGGACGCGUCCUUUCAAUCGCGUCUGUUCUGCUUGUAUAUAAACUGUGAUCCUUAAUGGAAUAGUAACAGUUCGAUCAAUUCGUUCUUUCACAUGUUAUCAGCACUUCGACUCUGUCCGAGAGCACGAAUAGGCAAAUCACGCCGGCGACAGUCGCCGGAGAAAGAAAACUGAAGGGAAGAAAGGAGAAGAUGAGAGGAUGCCUCGUGGUAUCUUGUCCUUCCUGCACCUUGUUCGUAAUGGCGGUGGUCCUCGGACUGGCGAAUGGUCGCGCCCAGGACACACCUUCCGGGUGGAUCUUCUUCAGAGGAGGAUGAUGCUGCGCCGGGGCCGUCGACCUCGCGCCGGUGAGGUAGUCGCUGGUGGCGAAGGUUGGUGGUGGUGGUGCCUCUAGCCGGCGCUGUAGUUUGGAUUGGGGAUGAUUUAGUCAAUCGGAACGAGAUGCCAGUUGCCUCCCUUAUCCAUCCAACACUGCGUACAAGCUGUGGUAUAGCCAUCCCACUAGGCCUAGUUGGCUAGUUGGAAGCGUUUUUCUCUCGUAAGGCGACUCUGAAGGCGAUCUAGGGUUUUGACCGCCGUCGCCGCCGAGGCGGCGGCGGCUGCCUAUCCUGUGUCUGCCUGACGGGGAUCAUGGGUCUCUCUUGGGAAGCUAGCUUGAUGCCAUGACGAGAGGAGGAGAAGAGAUGAGUUAGGUGGGCUGUUGUUGUCCAUGGUCUGGUUUCUCUCGGCUCUUUUGAAGGAUUAGGCGAUUAGUAAAUUUUGACGUCCCAGCACGCUCUAGCACAGCUGGUUUUUCUGUCCCGGCAUAGCCCCGUUGCUUUGCAAGGUGGUGUGAUCUGUUUUCUGUCCCUCUGUAUUUGUCUGUAUACAGUAGGUUUUCUAGAUGCAGCUUGUCCGCGCAGUCGACGGAAGCGAUGUUCAAGGAGGAUCGACGCACGCAAUGAAGCUAAUAAGUUGGAACUGUCGGGGCUCGAGGAGGCCUCGACAGUCCGGUCGCUUCUGGAUAUCCAGAGGCGGCAUAUGCCAAAUGCGUUUUUUCUGUCUGAGACGCACCUAGAUGAAUCAAGGGCAGAAACACUGAUGAGGAAACUAGGCAUGGAUGAGAGGAUUGUUGCACCAAGUCGUGAUGGAAGGAAGGGUGAGCUGUUGUUAGUCUAGAAGGAGGUUAAUUAGGAUCUACUCCCGAACUACCACCAUUGAUGGUAUUGAUGUUGAAGUUCAUGAAAGCAAUGGUGAUGUUUGGAGGCUAACUGGCAUCUAUGGUGAGCCAAGUUGGGAGAAUAAGGAGCGUACAUAUCGUCAUAUAUGAGAGUUACAUGCCCAAUCCAGGUUACCCUGGAUUAUAAUUGGAGACUUUAAGGAAAUUUUAUGCUUUGGGGGACUUAGGGUAUGUUGGUGAUAAGUUCACUUGGUUCCGCGCGGUGGACUGAAAGAGAGGCUAGACCGUGCAGUUACAAAUGCUGAUUGGAUGGCUAUGCACUCUCACGCUACCUUGUGUAAUCUAGAGAUGGGGAAAUCUGACCAUCGGCCUAUUCUUCUAGAUACUGAGGACUUAGCGGGUGUGGAAGAGAGAAAGCCCAAGUAUGAUCGCAGAUUUGAGGCAAGCUGGCUUGAAGAAGAGCGUGGAAGAGAUAGUCAAGACAGCUUGGCAAAAAGUUGUACACAGAGGCUAGCUUAUGCCCGACUGUCAAAGAUAAAAUGGAUUCUGUACAUCGUGAUCUUCAUAAUUGGGAUUGCCGGGUUCUGAAAGGGACUCGUUUCCGGGUAAGGAAGGCCCAGCAGGAGCUGGAGGUUCUUAUGCGAGCUCCCUACACAGAUGAUGUCCGAGCAAAAUAGAACGAUCUCGCUGUGCUGAUUGAGAACUUGCUCGACCAAGAAGAAAUUGUUUGGGCNNNNNNNNNNNNNNNNNNNNNNNNNNNNNNNNNNNNNNNNNNNNNNNNNNNNNNNNNNNNNNNNNNNNNNNNNNNNNNNNNNNNNNNNNNNNNNNNNNNNNNNNNNNNNNNNNNNNNNNNNNNNNNNNNNNNNNNNNNNNNNNNNNNNNNNNNNNNNNNNNNNNNNNNNNNNNNNNNNNNNNNNNNNNNNNNNNNNNNNNNNNNNNNNNNNNNNNNNNNNNNNNNNNNNNNNNNNNNNNNNNNNNNNAAACUUGAUUAAGAAAUUGAGAAACGAUAAUAAUGGAUGGGUCGAAGGAAAUGAUAACCUCAACCCCAUAAUUUGUGAGUACUUUGACAAUCUUUUUAAAUCAGAUGUUGCUGACUAUGACCAGGAUCUUGUGCAUACAGUGAAGCCGCGUGUUACGGCAGAGAUGAAUAGGUUUCUUGUGGCGCCAUACACUCGAGAGGAUGUUCGGAAGGCCCUUGUAACACCCGCACCUAGUCCAGAUUGGGCCAUAGGCUGUUGGGCCGUGGGUCAUAUGGACUUUGGGCCAGUAGGCCUAACCUGCAGCUACAAAAGAUAGAGGUCGACAACGAGAAAGGGGAUCGAACAGAAUAGAAUUGGCUUGGCCUUCUUCCUCCUCCAGCUCCUCCCUUCCCUCGUACCAGAUGAGUGUAUCCCCUCUCCCUGAUUCUCUCUUGCUGCCUACCUUAAUUCUAUGCUCUUCCCAUCCUUGAUUCUCUUCUCUGGAUUGUAGUUCCGUUGUGAACCUUUGGUUUGGUGAUUUAAUUCAUACACGAGGAACACUUGUAUCCAUGGAUUUGGUGUUGUUCGAUAUCGAUUUAUCACCUCCUGAUCUAGGGGCGUGACAGCCCUCUUCCAAAUCGGUGAUUUGAAGGCGCCGGGGCCUGACGGCCUACAUGUAGUGUUCUUCAAGAGGUUUUGGCACAUUCUUGACGAUGAGUUAACAGAUGAAGUUUUGGAUGCAAUAAACAACCGGAAAAUACCUGAUGGAUGGAACCAAACUAAUAUUGUGCUUAUCCCUAGGCUUGGGAACGGUGUGACGACGGACAUGCCUCGCUCGGGGAACGGCUGUGCACUCCGGCCUUGUGUCGGCGCCAGAUGACGACAGCGAUCCAUGACCCCAGUCCGCAUCAUGCCCUUAAACGUGUCCAGGUUGCACGCUGCUGCGCGGUGGAUGACGGCCGCGAUCUGGGGUCGGCGGCAGCUGAACCAACGGGACGGAGCGCGGGAGCUCUGAGCCCCAUCCACUAUUGACGUAGAAGCCAAGGAGACGGGGCGGGUGGAAGCUCACGGAAAGAGAUGAGGAAGGCUGGUUUGGAGCCACGCGUGCAGAUGAGGGCGGCACGGACAAGGAAGCGGUGGGAAAGCCAACACGGAGGAGUAUCUCGAUGAGGAGAUCGUCGCCGACUCGCCGUCGAUGAGGAGUGGCGGCUGCUGCGUCUCGCCUUCCAUAUUGGCAAAGCUGAUCGAGACAUGGAGGCAGGUUUUUGUUUUUGUUUUUGAAGGGUGGACUCGAAGCACAAACUGGAUGCCUCGUAUACAUGGGCCCGCCUUGGUAAUUACGGCCCGUUCAGGUUAAUCUAUCCAUAAAUGGGCUGUCUAAAAAAACACUUUUUUUUUGCGGGGACCUAAAAAAAACACUUUGCCAAGGCAGCUUAACAUCACAUGGAUCAUUUUAAAUUCAAGAAACCCAUUUUAAAUUAGGAAAUUAAUAUUUUUAAGACACAAUUACCAUUUAAUACACUAUGAGCUUUUUAAAAUACAUGGUGAAUAUAUUUGUAAAUACACAAUGUAACUAUUUGAAAAUAACGAUGAACAUAUUCUUAAUACAUGAUAAAUAUUUCUCUAGUACAAGGUGACUUUUUUUUUUGAGGGAAACAGCAGGACUCUGCUGCGUAUUCUUUAUUGAAAAAUGAAUGAUACAAAAGAAGGUCCUCGAGAAACAAACAAGAACGGAAAAAGAGCUAAAAGAAGACAAUGCACCGGCUGGGAGUCGAACGCAAGACCUCCUGCUUGCAGCGUUUGAACCAGUUGACUAAACAAUACAUGAUGAACAUCGUAUGAAUACAUGUUGAACAUUUUUUAAUACACAACAUAUAUUUUCUAAAAUCAGAUGAACAUUUUUAUCAUAUAUGAUGUACCUUUUUAUACAUAAAGUAUUUUUUAAAAACAUGAAACAUUUCAAAAUUGCAUGAUGAAUAUUUUAAAUACAUGAUGAACAUUUCUUAAGUACUUGAUGAACUAGUUGAGUAAACAAUACUGCAAGGGGAGAGAUGACACCGAGAGGCUGCCGCAUAGGAGUGGGGGCAAUGGAUAUUGGAGGGGUUUCUUUGGGGUGACCCUGUCGCAUAGCCGAGACGGCCGGUUUGACGAUGGCCGAUGCAGAACAUCCUCUUGUGCAUGGGAGGCACUUGGGUAGGAGGCGGUGGUGCGGUACAGACCCAAGAGAACAAGAUGAGGAUGAAGCGGCGGCACGACACCCCCCAAAUCGACUCCUGUUGAAAAUCCUCAAGUCAGAAUGAGAGGACACAGCAGAAAGCUCUUUUUACCGGUGUAGGGAGCUACCGGCGAAUCAUCCACCGUUCACAUGCGCAGUGAUUCGUGCUAUAGGGAGCCCAUAGACAAUGUAUAGAUGUGUAUAAUAACAACCCAUCUCUUGUAUCUUAAUUAAUAGUCAAAUCAAUUCCAGAUGAAAGGGGCCCAUGUCAACAAUAAAGUUGUACUUGACGCAUGCAUGGUCCAUUCUCUCUCCUCAUUCUCACGUACAGAAGAUGCAUCACAUGCCAGACUAAUUCAUGCCCUUUAUUUUCUCUUUGGCAAUUUCAUUCAUUCAUAUAUUUUAAACCGCAACUUUAUUUUUGAAACUUUUUAUAUAUUUGAACUCCUGAUGCCAAGACCUUCAGAACAAGAUUAAUCUUGAAAACAUUCAAACAUCUUGUAAUUUCAACGUUUCAAAUGAGUGAAACAUGUUUUGUGGAAUACACGUAAUAAGUAUUUGAGCAAAACCAAAAUUUUCAAAUGAGUACAUUCUGUUUUCGUGCAUAUGAAACAAAUUUCAUUGUGAAAUAUGUUUAACUUGUAAUUUAGAAAAAUGUGAAACUAGUUAUUUUAAAACAUGCGAGACAUAUUAUUUCAAUCUUUUUAAUAAAUGAGAGAAAUCUAUUUUAUGAAGCGAGUGAAAUUAUUUUUUAUUUCAUUUAAAUGUCACUUAUUUCAAGUUAAAAUUUAUAUUUCAAAGGUUUGAAACUAACUUUUGAGUUGAUUGAAAUACAUUUGAAUAUAUUUCAUUGUUUUCGCAAGACAAAUAUUUAAAUUUAUCCGCGUUGGCAUUUUAGGUGCGGGCGUGCCAGUAUACAAGUGUAUACAAAUAAAAAAUAAAAUAAACACACAAAAUGAUGCGGAGAAAACUUGUAAAUCUUUAUUGCUGAAGAUAUACAAAUCUCAUUUUACAUGCUCUUGGUACAGCAUCUGACAUACAAAAGACAAUUGCAUAAUUCUCGACUCCUAGGGCCUCGAAGGGAUCCCUAGUUAAUUACAUUCAUAGCAUAUCUAUGAAAGACCUCCGAUUAAACUGCCUCAAACGGUCAUCAUCAUUAUCAACCUCAUGGCUUCUGUCUCCAAGGCAAAAAGAACAUGCAAGUGCUCCAAGACAAAUAAUAAACUCGCCAUGCCAAAACUUAUGGAUUCAUGCAUCAACCAAACAUGGGAUGUAGAUCAAGUCUCACGGAUAAAAUUAAAUGGAUAGUUCGGCCUCGUCGGUCACGAACAUCAUGUAUCCCGCCUCGUCGGUCAGGAAGUGUAUGUGAGUUCCGGCCUCGUCGGUCACGGAAGAAAGUGUACUGAGCGUGGACUUGAAGAUGAACCCUCGUUUGUUUGAGAAACAUGAUUCUGCAAAAUUUCGUCAAUGGCGUCUUGUUUAUUCCGGUGUAGAUGGCCACAUCUUUAUUAAUAUUGGAUUAUCUCAUGAUGAGAAAUCAUCCUUUGUAUGUCACGUGAUCUCCUUGACUCUGUGCUCUAAAUGUACAUAUACUGAACCAUGCAUGAUGUUGGCUUUUGUGCAGCUAUAUUUCUUUCCCUUGUAACUCCACACCUAUAUACAGUUUUGUCUGUCAACAUGAAUCCAUAGCCUUCACUGAUGGAUAAACCCAAAAUGCAUGAAAAUCACUUGGCCAUGAAAUGUCUGCGGCGACGAUUGAAACGUCAGGUAGAGCUGCGAGACGUUAUAACAUUCCUUUUUCUUUUUCCAUAUCAAACCGUAACACAUCCGUGGCGACGAUUUGAUCGCCAUGUAGAGCCACAGGAUGCAAUGCCGCUUUUUUCCUCAUGUCAGACCGUGAAACACCUAUGGCGGCGAUUAGAUCGCCAUGUAGAGCCACUAGAUGCCACCAAACUCUUUUGUAGAUCGGGCCAUGGAACGUCCGCGGCGACGAUUAGAUCGCCAUGUAGAGCCGCGGGACACCUUUGAAUUUUUUUAUAGAUCAAACAAUGGAACGUCCGCGGCGACGAUUAGAUCGCCAUGUAGAGCCGCGAGACGCCAUAAAAUUCUUUUUCUAGAUCGAGCAAUGAAACAUCCACGGCGACGAUUAGAUCGCCAUGUAGAGCCGCAAGACGCCGCAAAAGAAUGAACAAUGAGAACAAAAGAAAUAAAGGAAAUAAGUGAUCAUAUGCAACCUUCAUAUGAUUUACUCACCAUAUGGCUGUGCCAUCGACGCCGGUCACGGAGGGGAACGCCAGACAAAGAAAUGGAGAUGUGUGUAUAUGGANNNNNNNNNNNNNNNNNNNNNNNNNNNNNNNNNNNNNNNNNNNNNNNNNNNNNNNNNNNNNNNNNNNNNNNNNNNNNNNNNNNNNNNNNNNNNNNNNNNNNNNNNNNNNNNNNNNNNNNNNNNNNNNNNNNNNNNNNNNNNNNNNNNNNNNNNNNNNNNNNNNNNNNNNNNNNNNNNNNNNNNNNNNNNNNNNNNNNNNNNNNNNNNNNNNNNNNNNNNNNNNNNNNNNNNNNNNNNNNNNNNNNNNNNNNNNNNNNNNNNNNNNNNNNNNNNNNNNNNNNNNNNNUUUAUAGCAUCGUCUCCACCGGCUAGCUAUGCGAAUAGAUAGGAAGAUAAGCACGAGAGAUUAGCGUCGUCGCCGCUGCCAUUAGUAACAAUUAAACAAAUCUUAUCUCUAAUCUCUCGGCGUUGUUGAACUAAAAAGCAACAAACUCCUUGGCCAAUACUUAUCUCUUGGUGGAUUUAUUCAAGCCCAACGGAUCGAUUUUCUCUAUCACUAGCGACCACGGACGUUUUGUACCAACAUCAACACGUCCAACUAGCAGCAGGCCUGUAUAAGAUUUUACUACUUCAACACACCAAACGUUUGCCUGGAUAGUUGUUGACCGGUUGAACCGUGCAUGCACACACGAUUUAUUCCAUUAGCAAACUGGUUGAUCGGCCACUACUAAAUCCUUUUGAUCAACCAAAUGCAUGCGUUAACGUGACUAGGCCUGAAAAUUCAUAACCAUAAUAUGUUUUCCCCUUUGAAGAUCACCAACUAUUUAUUUAUGAGAGAAAUUUGAUUUUUUUUAUCAUCAAUUAUAUACUCAUUGACAUGAUCUGACGAGGGUCUGCUCAUACCAGAUAAUCAAAUAUAUAUGUGCAUCACAUGGCAAAAAUGGAGUCAAACAUUCAUAAAUACAAAGUGGAAUUAGUUUUUGAGAUAUAUUUUGUAACGAGUGAAAUCAGAUUUACGAAAUGAGUUAUUUCAAUUAACUGAAAUAGGUCUUUUGAAUUCAAUGAAACCAAUUUUAUGAAAUAGAUUGUUCCAAUGUGUGAAAUUGAUUAUGUUCGUGAAGCUGCUUACUCCUGAUUGUGAAACUGAUAUUUAGGGAAUAUAAUUGCAAGUGAAAUAUCAAACUAUAAAAUUUAAAUAUGCAUGCAUUAUUUUAAAGCGGUGAAAUCUGUAAUAUAAAAUGAGUGAAUCAGUUUUCGAAAUGAAUGGAAUCAUGUUUCUGAAACGGAUGAAAUAUGUUUUUUUAAUGUGUGAAAUCUGUCUUUUCAAAUGAGUGAAUUCAUAUUUUUUAAAUAAGUGAAUUUUUAUUUUGAAUCAACUAAAAAAGAUGAGUGAAAUAUGCUUUUCAAUAUGAGUGAAAUAUGUUUUUCAAUUUGAGUGAAAUAUGUUUUUAAAAAUCAGCUAAAUUAAAGCUAAUUCGAAUGUAUCCAUAAUUGAUCUUGUUCUGAAGCUCUUCUUGCUAGGAAUUCAAAUAUAUAUAAAAAUUCAAAAUAGGAGUUCUCAUUAAAAAGAUAUCCAUGAUCCAAAAUUUCACAAUGAAAUUAAAUGGAAGUAUUUUGAUGGAGAGAGAGGGAAUAUUUAACUUGCAUGCAACUGGUCUUGUCGUACAUUUUUUCUCUCUCCUGACAAAAGCUGACAAGUGCAUGCAAAUGUUCACAUGUAUUCCUGUGUAUUCUACCCAUGUCUUUUAUACAAUAAAAAGGGGCACGAAUCUCCAAAACAGCAGCAAUGGUGGAUGUUGCUCCGGUAGGUACCGGCUCCGGUAAAAAAAACUUAGUCGGAGGACACAGGGCGAGCUGCAUUUGAACAACUUGAGAAAUCGGUUACGUUUCCCCCUCGCCGGGACCGGACCCUUACAGUCGAGGCCCACUACGGGAAAAAAUGCUGAACUUCUCCCAGGUUUCCAUUUCCUGGGAGCUUAGAAACUGUAAUGAUUCUGCUACGAUCAAAUAUAAGAAGCAUAGAUGCUGGUAUGAACUCUCGGUUCAAAAAAAUCAACUCUACCACAGACAUUUUUUCGCGAAUAUGCAAAUAAUUACGUACCAUUCCAUUGAUAGGUAGGAGAGAAUUGCUACAGCAUAGAGGAGAGGGGGGGUCACACCAACAGGCAACACAUCCAAAAACUCACCUAGCCCGAACUCUUUCCAAAGACAACGAAGAGAAGGGACACGGGGCACGCAGACCAACGCACUAAACCUCCGUCUCGCCGCCACCACUCCAUCACAGACCGAAUCAACAUACCCCAACCUUAUGCACCUAGGAGAUGGCAAGCGGGAUGCAGGACCAGUCCGUGCCGGAGGAGGAAAGCCUAUAGAAGGCACAAUUUUGAUUUUAUCGGUUUCAAUGUUCUCAAAUAACUACACCUUGCUAAAAAAAACUGCUCCCAGUAUUAUAUUGGCUUUUUUGUGAGGGUGAUAUUAUAUUGUUAACUGUUAAUGGAAGUUUGACUUAAACGUGUUCUGGUCUAUCUAGGAUUAGAGGUGAGGAUGGUGAUGUGUCAUGCACUCGGAUCAGCAUCCUUCAUCAAUAACUGUCUAGCUGCUUCUGCUUGUCUUCCUUGCAUCUUGGUAUGGGCGAUCCAAAUACUGUCAACUCUGACCAUUUGAUAGACGCCACUCUGAAAAACAAUUUAUGGAAAAAUUACGCUGUAAAUAAUUGUUAAUUCAAUAUACAGGCCACGGCAGAAAUGGCAUCUAUUGAAAUAUUCCACUGUUGGCAAGGCAAUGGUUAAAAGUUUCUUUCUAAGCGAUUUUCUUUAAUAUGUGGCCUCUAUUUUUUUCUUUUGUUUCUCCCUCUCAUCAGUCAUCACUCUGAUGAACAAGGUAUGCAUCAUGAGAACUUCAAUCAAUGGUUAAGUUUCCAGAGGAAUUUUUCAAGCAAUGAUUUGAUCUUGUGGUAUUUUGUGUCGUAGGAUCAAUAUUCUAAAGGAAAAUGGGUAGGAUUAACCGAGACAAAUCCUCGGUUGUCACCCCGCAAUAAUUUGGCCGAUCAAAUAAUGGGCACCAUCAUUAGUUGCAAGAAAAAUUGAUGCAAAAUCGGAAAUGCACAUUCUUGUCGCUGACAAGGAGGAGCUAAAUCAAGCAUGCACGUAAAGCGGCAGAAUUCAGAUGCAAGUGUUGAGCGAUGGUUUAACUGAAUUAGGAUGUACUGAACUACUUAUGCUGCAACCAGUAGCACUAGUCUGUAGCAGAGUGGAGACUAAGCAGGUGCAGCUCACUCAGUACUGGUCAUCCUUGAUAGCACCAGAGUCUACCACUGGCAUACAUAAAUACCAUCCAACAACUCCCUCGUACAUAUAUGCUUGUCUCCAGAUGGCAUUUCUGUUCAAAGUAAAAAAGGGAGGAGAAAAUAACAGAUUAAAUAUCAGCCAGGAACUCAAGAUGGAUGUAAUUAGUUACAAAUAAAUGGAUAGAUAAUUCGACAAGACGAGUAGUUGUAUAACCACAAUCCAAUGUUACGAGGCACUGAAGAAGAAAAAUAAAAACUACAAUUUUUCUAUCAUCAAUAGACUAAAUUAUCAGAUACCCCGAAAGUAUAAAAAAAAUCGUGUACCUCCUUAGAUUGGAUUGUACAUACACAGAUACACUUGAAUUUUUAGUGGACAACUAAUCUUCAUUGUGCUACAUCUGAACUGGGAAACAUGCACCAACCCAAAGUGUUAAUACUACAAGCCCACAACAUACGACUACACAAUCCAAAAGCUGAAUUCUGUGCGUGCAAUAGCAUGAUGCUUCAGUAUACUGAGAUGAAAAAUAGACUACAUACUACAACAACUUUCUAAAAAGGAGUAUUGACGAUUUUAUAAAGUGUAGCUUGAGUCGAGGUUCACAGUUCUAAGGUAGCUUACUCGUAAUGAAGGUUUUCUUUUUGAGGAAUGAGAGUUCAAUAAUAAAAUAUGGCUACUGAAGAAAUGGAGGUGGAGGACAUAAAAAUUCCAUUCUUCCAAGUCCUGAGUCCUAACCCCUGCAUCUUUAAUCUUUCACAUACACAAAACCAAAUUGUAGCGCUUACAAAUCAUGUUACAGGUACCAAAAACAUCUCAAAUGCCGCAUAACAAGUAUUCCUAUUUCCUACAAAUGGCCUUAACAAAAUCAAUCAUGUACCUACCACCAUUCAGUAGCUACACUAAACAGUGUGGUGGGUUAAUGAACUAUUAACAAAAAAAUGGACUGCAUGAGUUGCAACGCAGAUUGUUUCCACAACUAACUUAUUGUGAUGAUGUAUUGAUCCAAGCUACAUAUUUGAUAUUCUCAGUUUUGAAACAUAUGUCCUCGCAACAAAAAAGUUGAAAGCACGUUGUAAAAGAAGAAACAAAAAAUAGAGUGUGAUUAACACGAUGCACAUUCCAAGUCUUUGUGAAUUCAACCAAGGUGUAGGGGGCAAACCUUGCAGAGCCGUUCUUUAGCGCAGGGAAUACGGGUGGCCAGGGCAUCAUAAAAGGAUGGAUAUAACCCAAACUACUCCGAUCCUCAUUUGCCAACUCAUACACUCUACGUAGUGUCCUGCACUUGACAUCCAAGUAUAGUAUGGACCGACCCAUCUCCAAUAACACAAAUUCCACAUUGUCCCCCACCAUGCUUAUUUGUGGAAGAUAAUUGCAGUCUGACAUACCCAAACUAGCACACAUGUCAUGCAAACAUAUGUUGUUCAAAGGCGACCAGGUGCCCCCCUUGUGGAACCAGAUGCGAAGUUGAAGCCCCUUGAGAUGGAGGAGGUACACACUGGUGGCAUCGUUGGCCCUUGACAACAUGGUGCUUCCCUCGCAAAGCUCCACCCCUUUGGGCAGCCGAAUUGUGGAGAAACUGGAGGCUGUCAAAUCCAACACAGUAAUAUCGGUCUGACCAGCUGCCAUAUAGAUUUUAUCUUCGACAAGCACAACUUGUUGUGAUGGUGGGCGAGGGAUCUGGUCUAUGGCCAAAUUAUGUAUCAACCAGGCAUCGUCUUGCAACAUAUACGGAACAUGCAUAGUAUACUUUCCAUCCAUGGUAGAAUGCAUCAUCAAAUACCAGUAAGACAACAAGAGACCUUCUUCUUCUUCUUCUUCUUUGGAGAGGGUUGCCGAGUAAGUAUAGGAACAGCCAUCCGGCAGUAUGGGGAGUGGGCGCGGUGGGAACAUGGUCAUGCACAUCGUCUCAGGAGGACACAGCAUGUUGUACACUCCCAAUCUAUCAUGUUCGCUGAGAACGAUGCGGCCGUUCCGGCAGCCAAAGAUAUAGUUCGGCACCCAUAGUGCCCUCUGGUAGGCGUCGAAGUUGGAGCUUAUUCGGCGUACGACGGCGGCGAGCUCUUGAGGCUGAGGCAGCAUCGGCACGAAGUGUGUGGUCUGCACUGAACAGUCGUCGCCCAAGAAGUAGAAUCCGAGGAGGCGGGAUGGGUGGCGGUCGCGGCAACGGCGGAGGAACCUGCGAUCGGAUGCGUGGAGGUACCAGCUCCUGCAGACGGCCGCAGCGCGAACGAGGGUGGUAGGGAAGCCAACGCGGACGAGGAUCUCGAUGAGGAGGUCGUCGUCGCCGAGCACCCUCGAUGCGGCGUCCUCCAUGGCCGCCGCCGGCGGCCGCGACUCGCCGUCCAUUGUGGAGCUAGUUGGGGUUUCCGUGCGUCUGAGACUUGGGCGCUGGGGGCACGAAAAGAAAAUAAGGCCGAGCUAAUAAGAAGGGCCCAGUACGUCUCUGUUCAUAAACAUAUACAGUAUUAGGGUUGUCCAAAAAUAAUAAUAAUACAGUAUUAGGUUGCCUAAAAAAAAUACGGUAUUAGGUAUAUGUAUUAGGUUUCACUGAAAAAAGGUAUAUGUAUUAGGUGCCUAAGAAACAGUAUUAGGAAGAUAAUUAAGUCUGACUACUUGGGUUAAUGAAAAAAAUAUGAAAUUUCACACGAAUAUAGUGACAUGGAUGUUCCAUGUUUAAAAACCACAUUUCAAAUAAAAUGGGAGAACCGUAGCUAUCAUCUCAGUUUCAUUAAAACUAUGAAUAUCAUCCCUGUCAAAACAUUAAGUAUCAACUUAUCCCGAUGGUGUUCUAGGAUUAGUUUUUUAUGAGGAGAAGGGGUAGGAUUAUUUUCCCAUUAAUAAUAGUUUGAGUGCUCAUGAAUAUUCAAUUCUGCAUCCGAGCUCAUCUGAUCUCGGUGAAUAGUAAAAAUAUAAUAAAAUUAGUAGAAAAAUUCAAAAUAAUCUGAUUUUUUUUUGGCAUGGAAGAUGUUCGAAUGCGUGAUGUCUAGGCAAAAUUUAAUCGUGUUUGAAAAUGUUCUAGUAUUUUUUUACUGUUCACACAAGGGAGCAGAUGAGCUUAGGAGCCAUUUCGCCCCGUCCAACUGAUAAGACCUUUAGUGCCAUAAUAAAAAUUAAUGUGGAAUCAAAAUGCAUGUUCAGAGAUGGGCGUCUUAACUGAAACUGGCUCUAUUAGGUGUCUUAACCAAUCGUCCAAAUCAAGCAAGGGGAAGAAAAUAUGACUCAGCAUGGUGCUCAAAUAAACUUUGCAACAUGACAAUAAAAGAAAAAUAUGGGAAAUAGUCUCACUAGCCCCACCAACAACACAUUCCUUGGUACCAACUCAUCUUCUAUGCAAAAGAUUUAGGACACUACUUUUAACCACUAACCACAUUAAAAAACUUUCAUGUUUCGAUGCAUUCACUGUUAUCUAGUAACUAGUUGCAUUUAUCGGGAUUAUCAGACAAAAUCACAUUACAACAGACUAACAGAUCCGUUAAAGUUCUCUGCAUUGAAGAAACUGUUCGUGCAAAUUUCCAUUCAGAUUCAGACUCCGGUAACCUUUAGUAAGAAGUUCAUUUACAGUGAUGUCUUGACCAAGAGCAAUACAGUACAACUUAGCAAGUAAUGCUUCCCUUCCAAAAUAAGUGUCUCAACCUUAGUACAACUUUGUACUAGAGUUAGUACAAAGUUGAGACACUUAUUUUGAACGGAGGGAGUAUAAUACUAAAAGCUACAUCCCCACCAAGGUUCUUUCCGCAAACCUAGUCCUUUUAUCACCAUCUGCAAUUCUAGUACAGAAUUUUGCAAACAAAAUUUAAACCUGAAAUGUCCAUUGCAGAAAUGUGGCUGGCCCUGUUUGUCACAACAUUGCCCUGUUCAUCCCUCCCUACCUUAUACAAGUAAAUACCUGAGCAAACUCAUCAUGUUUCACGACUGCGCCUCCCAAAACAGUUUUCGCUCACUUUUAUGAAAAUUUAUAUUCAAAGUAUUCAUAUGCUAACACAGAUACAAUAAAAACUCUCUCACUCCCUCUAGAUCUUCUUCACACAAGAAAAUCAUAUCAUUGGCAUACUUUAACAUAAUUAGUGCCCCAUCAACUACUCCGUUAAUAGGUCCUCAUGCCUGAGCUUUUCCCACUACAACAAUAAAGCCCUGUUCGGAUCCACUCCACUCCACAGCUACAACUCUCGGAGUGGAAGGAGCGGCAGCGCAAUCGCACAGAGCGGCUCAGACCCAGCUCCUCGCACGGAGUGGAGUUUUGAAAUGGGAGAGGUACCGAACAGGCACUAAGUAUCGAUUUCUCACCAUAUUGAUUUGGUAAACUAAAGGUGUACGCUGGGACCUACUGUCUUUUUUCCAGCCCAUCAUCACACUCUCGAUGGAGAAGAUGAUCUUCUAUGUAUGUAUGGUGCUGCUGUGGUAUAAUUAUUCUUCUAUGAGGAAAUGAAUAUGUUCAUUCAUCAGCAGAGAAAAGUAUCGACCAAAUCAGGAGUGUGUGUUCUGCUCCGUGACAACAAGCAACUAAUAAGCAAGCGUGCAAUGCAGCAAAGUUCAGAUAUAAUGUUGCGCGAGUGUUUAACUGAAUCCCGGCGCGAUGGCCUACUGAUGCUGCGGCCAGGAGCAGAGCAGAGUGGAGUGGAAUCUGCCAAGAAGGCCAUGAGCUUCAGAUUAGCCACUGAGAGUAUAUAGCAGUUGCGGCUUGGAUGCUGAGUAGCCCCGUGAAGGAUAGGGAGCAGGUUCCGAUAGAGGUUAAGGGCCUGUUCGGAGCCCCUCUGCUCCGCGAGGCCGCUGACCGAGUUUUAGUUCGAAAGUGCAGAGCCAGCAAAACGGUACUCCCGAGAUUCUCAAUCUCCGCGGAGCGGGCGGACUGCCGAACAGCGCCUAAGAGUGAUGUACAACAAAUUGCAGUAGAUUGGUGGGCUCCAUUGUUGAGCAGGUUUACUCAAUCAGGUUUGCAGCCAUCUAUACAACACCUACCUAAAGUGGCAGCAUGCAGAGUUGAUGUUGUCAUCUUUUCUCUCCCUCUCCAGUCUUCCCCCAUUUCUUCCUUUCCAAAUACAACAGAGUGGAUAGCAAGCAUAAAUCACGGUACAAGACUAGGGCUAUCAGAGGUAAUAACAAGGUGAAGAAAAUCAUGCAAAAGAUAUAUCAUGAUAAUCAAGCAUAAUAAUAAUAGGUCUUAAACUCCCGAAAGGAUCGAAACCAGGUAGGUAGCUCUAGAUAUUAAAAACAGGUGCUCAUGACUUUCCAGGUUGUCACAUGUCAUCCAUCACAACUAAGGAGAAACUUUGGUUUGCAUUUAUUCUCAACUCAUCUACGAUGGAGCUCCAGUUUAUUGGUAGUGGAGAUAGCUAG